GGGCGGUGAGGUUAGGGUUUUUCGCAUGUGCACGCGACAUCAAGAUCUCGUGUUAGUUUCUUCAGAUCGAUUCAAGGGUUCAGUGACGAUGACUACGGCUUCAGGGUGCUGGUUCUUAGGGGAACAUGCAUGAAGACCUCCUGAUUGCCAUCGACCAGGUCUAGCAGACUCCGGCAUGGGAGCAGCGACGUAGGUGUGUCAGCAACUCGUUUUGUCAAUGACAGUGGUUGUUCGGUGGUCUAGGAAGCUUAAUGUAUUUUUUAUCAUAUGAUAGAGUAAAUUGCAGAAAACCACCACUUUGAGGGUUAGGUUUGCGAAAAACACUAUAAUACAUUUUUUUUACAGAAAACACUACGUCUUUAGUAAUCUUUUUGCAAAAACCACUGAUCGGCGGAUCUGGCUCUGUUAAGCGUGUUUAUGACAGAUGGGGCCCAUUUUCUGCUUACGUGGCGUAACUUUUUGUGCUUGGCGGGUUUUAAUCUAAAAUUACAAACUAGACCCUCAAAUUUUACACAGUCACCCCCUCCCCAAAAAAAAACGCAAUUGACCACCACUGGAGCAGAGCUCGUGCAAAUCAGCCUCAUCCCCCGCCCUCGACCUCGCGUUGACCAGGGCCCCAAUGCUCCUCCGUGGUGGAACUGCUCCUCCCCGACGAGGAUCUGGAUCGGGGGAUCCUCGUCGUCCUCCGUGGUGGGCGCCGUGGUCCCGGUCGCGGAACUUUGUGCCGGUGUCGGAGAGGCUGUCCCCUCUGCGUCACCGGAGUGAUCCCGCCCGCUCUGUUCGGCGGUGACGCGAACGCCCACGGCUGCUGCCCAACUCCGUCGACCAUGGCCAUCGGCGAGAAGGCGGUGUGGGGCUCGCGAACCAUGUCGCCGGCGCUGCCAACGCUAGGCUCUGGCGGUGACUCCUCGGGCUCGAUCAAAAUUGAGGACGACAGCAGCAGCUCAAUCCAGACCAAGGACGGCGGCGGCGGAGCGGAGGCGGGGCGGCCCAGAGCGGUGGCUAGACAGGGAAGUUGACAAGGGGUGGCAGUGGCGUGAUGCAGAUCGAUGCUCGCGGUUGGAGUGGCGGUGACUCGAUCUAAAGAUGGUCCGGGGCCGGCGAAGAUGGGGGAUAGGGGAAGGGCGGACAUUGUAGCCCCAGACGCUCACCACGUCGAGCUGUGGGGACGGUGGGGGCACGACGACAGCGGCCCGGGAUGCAGGGGCGGCAUUGAGCUCGUGUGCACGCUUGCCGGCUGCGGAGGGAGAGAGGUUGGGAGCGAGGGGAAGGUCUGUGGCGUGAUUGGAGGGCCUAGGAAGCAGGGGAGAAAAUUGGGGGGCUUUUUUGCAUUAAACCUAAACCGCUAUGCCACGUAAGCAGAAAAUAGUCCCUAUCUGUCAUAAACACGCUUAACAGAGCCAGAUCUGCCGAUCAGUGGUUUUUGCAAAAAGAUUACUAAAGACGUGGUGUUUUCUGCAAAAAAAAUGUAUUGUACUCCCUCCAUUCCACAAUGUAGUGCCUAUAGAUUUUUGUGAAAGUCAAACUUUGCCAACUUUGACCAAGUGUAUAGAGAAAAUUGUCUAUAUCUACAAUACCAAACAUGUACAUUCUGAAAAUAUAACUCACGAUGUAUCCAAUGAUGUACAUUUGGUAUUCUAGAUGUACCUAUUUUUCUGAAUAAACGUGGUCAAAGUUUGUAAUUUUUGACUUUUGUAAAAAUUUAUAAGCACUACAUUAUGGAACGGAGGGAGUAGUGUUUUUCGCAAACAUAGUCUUCAAAGUGAUGGUUUCAUGCAAUUUACUCUCAUAUGAUACUUUNNNNNNNNNNNNNNNNNNNNNNNNNNNNNNNNNNNNNNNNNNNNNNNNNNNNNNNNNNNNNNNNNNNNNNNNNNNNNNNNNNNNNNNNNNNNNNNNNNNNNNNNNNNNNNNNNNNNNNNNNNNNNNNNNNNNNNNNNNNNNNNNNNNNNNNNNNNNNNNNNNNNNNNNNNNNNNNNNNNNNNNNNNNNNNNNNNNNNNNNNNNNNNNNNNNNNNNNNNNNNNNNNNNNNNNNNNNNNNNNNNNNNNNNNNNNNNNNNNNNNNNNNNNNNNNNNNNNNNNNNNNNNNUAUAAAAGUCCAUGCCUGUGGCGGAUCCAUGUUGAAUUUUGGAUGCUCAAGAAACAAUUCGGGUAUAGCUGGUAGUGGUACUAUGUUUUCAUUAAGGAGAUAAUCACAUUCACAUUAACACAAAUGAAAGCAUACUUUUGCCCCAAGAUUCUCAGCCAGCCCCCGGACGCCAAUGAAAGCAUUGGAAGGACGGAAGGUUCGAACCACAGAUGGAAGAUUGGGUUAGUGUUGGAGGUAAUUUAACUCGUGGUCGAAAUCAGUAGGUCUGUAGGCGGUGGGUGGGUGUAACUGAUGGAUGAAGGCGACCGGGCGCAGGGAGGCGAUAACCAUCAAAAAAUAGCAGCAACAGCAAAAGUCGACGGGAGACGACAGAAGGAGAGGCGUAUGGGUCGGGAUGCUUCACUGCAGGGGGGGUGCAGUGCAAGGCUGCAUGCUUUGGACUUGGCUGAGAUCGUGAGCUCUCUCGCCUGUCACCUCAGCCACUUGUCCACCACCGUGCUUGCUCACCCGGCCGGACAAGGACAAUGCUCCAACCUCGAUGUCUCGGCCCAUGGAAAAUGCAAGUGUGUUUUUGUCUGUCUAUAUUACCUAUCUUUUUAGCCCGGUAUUGAGAUAAAAUGUGUGUAAUUUAUGCGCAUAUACCUCAGCAAAUCAGAACCAGCGUAUUCAUCUUCGUACAAACUGUGGAGCAGCCGAGCAGCGGCAUUCAUCUAAGGAAUAAUGUUCAGUAGCUCCAGGGAUUACACAACGGGUGCCAAUCAACUUGAUGCCGAUCUUUGGAUGGCAACAAGUUACGUUAUUUCAAAGCUGUUAAUAAAGGGUAUACACAAAGACUUUGGGUUUUCCAAAUCCUCUUCAUACCGCCAUCUCUCUUUCCAAGAUCUUCACUGUCACUCACCUAAUAAUUAUAUUAUUAUUUUUUGCUAGAAGGAUCGGUACCAAAGUACUCCCUCUGUAAACUAAUAUAAGAGCGUUUAAAUCACUACUUUAGUAUUCUUUUUUUUUUUGGAAAAGAGGGACUCCCCGGCCUCUGCAUAAGGAGUGAUGCAUACAGCCAUCUUAUUAAUGAAGCAACAAAAAGUGCGUACAAAGUUCCAUAGUCUCUAACUGAAAACAAUAAAAAGCAGCCCACACAGAGCGCAUAAGGCUAGAAAACACUAACUAGCCAAUAAAGGAGCCACAACCGGCUGGCUAUAGAGAUAGGGAAACUAAUUGCCUAUCCUAUUACAUGACCGCCAUCCAAACCGGUUGAAGAUAUCCCGAGCAACCAUCUCCCACCGGGUAGACCCAGUAACCAAAUGCUCCCUGGCCUCCAUCGGAGUGAGUAAUGACCAUGAACGGAUCAGCGCCGUAGCUCGGAAGAUAACCUGCAAAAAAUGAAUUCGUGAUGAUCUGUUAAAAACCAAAUCAUUUCUGCACAGCCAGAUGGUCCACAUUAAAGCGCGACUCCAACCCGAAUAUGUCUUGCUAUUGUAGAGUCAAUCCCAUAUAGCCAAUUCCCAAAUAAAGCAUUAACAGUAUUCGGUGGAGUUAUAUUAAAAGCAAUGUGGACCGUCUGCCAAAAAACCUUGGCCAGCGGGCAAUCAAAAAAGAGAUGUUUAAUUGUCUCAUCUCGAUCACAGAAACUACACCUAGUAGGUCCUGUCCAAUUACGCUUUAUUAAGUUGUCCUUUGUUAGAAUAACUUGUUUAUGAACAAACCACAUAAACACUUUUAUUUUCAAAGGUACUUUGACAUCCCAGACACUCUUGGAAGUUGGAAUGGAGCUUGUAUUAAUAACAUCAGUAUACAUAGACCUGACUGUAAAUACUCCAGACGUAGUCAACUUCCAGCGUAAUUUAUCCGGUUGGUCAGAAAGUUGAACCUCCAUUAGUCUCCUAACUAACUGGAGCCAAACCUCCCAACGAUUGCCCGCUAAUGACCGUCUAAACUGAAUAUUAAGGGGGAUAGAUUGAAAUACCGUUGCCACGAGCACCUCACGUCGUUGAGCAAUAAGAUAAAAAGACGGAUACUGAAUGGCCAGGGGUGAGUCGCCCAGCCAAGCGUCCUCCCAGAAACGUGUAGUGGCCCCAUUGCCAAUGACAACUUUUGUCCUAUUGAACAUUAAUUGCUUGACUUUCAUGAGCCCUUUCCAGAAAGGCGAAUCCAUCGGCCUAACUGUUACCUGGGACAAAGUCCUAGUCUGGAGAUACUUGCUGCGAAUGAUUUGCGCCCACAUAGCUUUCGAACCGCUAGCGAGCUUCCACAACCACUUACUAAGAAGGCAUCUGUUCUUAACCUCAAGAUUCUCAAUGCCAAGCCCGCCUUGGUCUUUGGGUCGACAGAUGAUAUCCCACUUAGCAAGCCGGUAUUUUCUUUUAAGCUCAUCACCCUGCCAAAAGAAGCGUGAUCCAUAGAAGUCCAGUCUUUUCCUCACUCCCACUGGAACCUCAAAGAACGAUAAGAGGAACAUAGGCAUACUCGUGAGUACCGAGUUUAUCAAAACUAACCGGCCUCCAUAUGACAUGAGCUUACCCUUCCAGUAGCUCAGUUUCUUUUCAAAUCGAUCCUCGAUACACUUCCACUCUCUGUUUGUUAGCCUACGAUGAUGAAUCGGAAUGCCAAGGUAGGAGAAGGGCAGACUUCCCAACUCGCACCCAAACAGUUGCCUAUAGGAGUCCUGUUCGUCUUUAGCCCUACCAAAGCAGAACAAUUCGCUCUUAUGAAAAUUAAUCUUUAACCCCGAUAAUUGUUCAAAGAGGCAUAACAACAACUUCAUAUUUCUCGCCUUGGCCAAAUCAUGCUCCAUGAAGAUGAUUGUAUCAUCAGCGUAUUGAAGAAUGGAUACACCUCCAUCCACCAGAUGAGGUACUAAACCACCCACUUGACCAUGGUCCUUAGCCCUUCCGAUCAAUAUUGCUAACAUAUCCACCGCGAUGUUAAACAAAACGGAGGGACAUUGGAUCGCCUUGCCUGAGGCCCUUAUGAGUCUGGAAGUAAUGACCGAAAUCGUCAUUGACUUUAAUACCCACACUCCCUUUUUGCGUAAAAGAUUCAACCUGAUGGCGCCAAGCCUCAUCAAAACCUUUCAUACGCAAUGCCUGUUGAAGGAACGACCACUUGACCUUAUCAUACGCCUUCUCAAAAUCCACCUUAAAAAUUACCCCAUCUAAUUUUUUAGAGUGAAUUUCAUGGAGCGUUUCAUGAAGGACAGCUACUCCUUCGAGGAUGUUUCUGUCCGGCAUGAAAGCAGUUUGGGAUUGAUGUACCACAGAAAGCGCAAUCUGUGAGAGCCUGUUUGUCCCGACCUUGGUGGAGAUUUUGAAACUAACAUUGAGAAGGCAAAUUGGCCUGAAUUGCUCAAUUCGCACAGCCUCCGUUUUCUUAGGAAGCAAUGUGAUAGUUCCAAAAUUCAACUGAAAUAAUUGAAGCUGUCCAGAGAAAAGAUCGUGAAACAUAGGUAACAGAUCCCCCUUAAUAAUCUGCCAACACCUUUUAUAAAACUCCGCCGGAAACCCAUCCGGACCGGGAGCCUUGUUGUUUUCCAUUUGUGCAAUCGCAUCAAACACUUCCUUCUCCGUAAAUGGGGUAUUCUAAAUGCUCUUAUAUUAGUUUACGGAGGGAGUAUGAAGCAUCGAAACAUAAUAUAAAUUACAUUGAGGUUCCGGACGACCACAACUGUCGGCCAAACGAGCCACCGACAUGCUAUUGUCGCCGCUUCCCUACCAGAGACCUUGUCGAUGACAGCCGAGAAGUCUUCGUGCAUGUGACCCUAACGACCAAAGCCUUGGAGCCAUAGUCAUCGCCAUUGAACCAUUGCAUAGAUUUGAAGCAGCUGACAUCAAAUCUCGCCACAUGACGAGAACCCCUACCUCGCCGUCCCAAAGAGACGGCAUGAAUCUACAUCAGAGCUCCGUCGACACGUCCAGACAGAUGAACUCAAGAAGGAUUAGAGUCCAGAAGACAAACUCGAAGAAGAAGUGUCGCCAUCCGCCCGAGCGCCGCACCUUCAAGAACUAAAAAACCUAACAUAAACUACUAAACGGACUGAAGGCAUUGGGCCUCCCCACCACCGGCCGCCGGAGAGGCAUGCAGAGGGGAGGCGAAUCCACGGGCUCACGGGUGAAGCCUGGAGGGGAUAGUUUGCCCUAGCCGUCUAGGGUUGGGGAAGGAAAACGAGAGAAAGUCGACGCUGAUUGUAUUUCUCCCCUCACUUGAUAAUUAGUUAAUUCAGUUAGUUGACCUAUCUGCACUCUAUUAAGUCGUCGAGUCCAAUACCAUUGUGGUAUUUAUCACAAGAAAAUGAGCUUCUUGCAUAAACAAAUAAAUAAGAUUCCAAUUUUUUUGAGAAAUAAAUAAGCUUCAGUGUUACAUGCCGGUAAUAAAUAGUAGCAUUUGCCUAACAUUCCUCGUGUUUUGGCUACUCAUUUUCAUUAUACUUGUUGUGUCCCGAGCAGAAGCUUUUGUAACUUAGUUCAUCACUUAGAAAAACUGACGAUCACACACAAGGAAAAGGGCGGCCGUAUAUGAAUACUUAUUACUUCCUUUGUCUCAAAAUAAGUCUUUAUACUAAAGUUAGUAUAAAGUUGAGACAUUAAUUUUGAAACAGAUGUGUACUAAGUUUGUACUAUAGAUAGUAUAAAGUUGAGAUACUUAUUUUGGGACGGGGAUAGUACUAAAUAAGAGACACAUGUAUUUUUGUGACAUAUUUGAAAAUGCAUCUAUUUCCCUAGUGUGUUUUCAUGGUAAAUGCCAACCUGAUUGGAUGGACCGUUGUUUGUUCAAGCAUAUUUGAGAUUAGUCCCUCAAGGUUGCAACUAAGAAGACUCUAGAUGACCCCUACUUCAAGGGCAGACGCCGGGCGCUUUCCGCCCUGUCUCCCUCCAGAAUGGGGACAUGAAAAUCCUCUGCCGUGGCCUCACCUCGAGGUUACAAAAGCAGAUCGGGGCCAUCAUUGACGUCGACCAGUCUGGGUUCCUGGCGGGAAGGAGCAUCUCCGAGAACUUCGUCUAUGCUGCCGAAGUGAUCCAGAGCUGCCACAAACGAGGGGCGCCUGCCCUCGUGUUCAAGCUGGACUUCGCCAAGGCGUUCGACUCGGUCGACUGGGGGGCGCUACGCCGGAUCCUCAUGGCGCGCGGCUUCCCCGAGCGGUGGUGCACCUGGAUGGACCUGAUCUUCGAGUCCUCACGGUCAGCGGUGCUGCUGAACGGCGUGCCCGGGAAGUGGUUCACGGUGCGCCGGGGGCUGCGGCAAGGCGACCCAUGCUCACCCUACCUCUUCCUCAUCGUCGCCGAUGUGCUGCAGUAGAUGAUCAGGCAAGAUAGGGGGUUGUUCCACCCUCUUGUUGAUGGCGAGCCCCCCCUGGUGCUGCAAUAUGCCGAUGACAUGCUUGUCAUCCUUCGCGCGGACUCCGGCGCCGCUGCCCGCCUCCGCCGUAUCCUCGACGACUUUGCGGCGGCGACGGGGCUGGACAUCAACUUCGUCAAAAGUACUCUAGUCCCCAUGCACGUUCCCGAGGAGGUAUUGGUGGAGACCGUUGGCGCUCUCGGCUGCGCCGUGCAAGGGUUCCCGCAAGCCUACCUUGGGCUUCCAUUGUCGUGGGAGAAGCUCUGCUUCGCAGACUUCCUGCCCAUGAUUGCGAAGGUGGACAAGUAUCUGGCUGGAUGGAGAGCUCGUCUUCUCUCCCCAGCUAGGCGUUUGGUCUUGAUCAACGCUGUUCUUGACGCCCUCCCCACUUAUGCCAUGGCGGCGAUGAUGCUCCCGCCUGCGGUGAUCAAGGAGCUCGACUCGCUCCGUCGGGCCUUCCUCUGGAAUGCGGCCGAACGCGCCUCUGGAGCGCAAUGCCUUGUGGCUUGGGAGCGUGUCUGCAGAACCAAGGCGGAGGGUGGACUGGGCGUCCGAGACCUAGCCACGCAGAAUCGCUGUCUGCUGCUCAAGAUGCUGCACCGGCUCCACACAGCCUCCUCGUCCUCGAGAAGGGCGCUGUGGGUGCGGGCGGAGCUCGACGGCCGCUCCCUUCUCUCGGCAACGGCCGGCAGGAACAUGGGGAGCACAGCAAGGCGCUGGGGGGAUGCUUCCGUUGUACCGCGGGAUCACUAGGGGGACGGUGCGCGAGGGGAGGCGGACGCCUUUCUGGCUCGACUCCUGGCUCCCGUGUGGGCCUCUCAUGGUGGCUCUUCCGGUGUUGUACUCACACACGACGCUGAAGGAGGCCACGGUGUGGCAGGUACGUGCGCGCGGCCUGGACAGUGUGCUGGUGCCCAGGCUUACCACUGCCGGCACCGUGGAGCGGGCUACCCUUCUGACCCUACUCGGCGACAAUGCUAUGGAGCCCGGCGACGACGAGCGCACAUCGAUGUUGUGCUCAGGCGCGCAUGGGGGCCUCGUGACGGCGGCCGUCUAUGCCCUGGAGAGGUUCGGCGGCGUGCAGGCGUCGUUCGCUGCAUUCCUCUGGGGGUGCGCUGCUCCCUCCCGCGUUCGCUUCUUCGGGUGGCUCCUGGUCCAACGACGGAUCAACACAAGAGACGUCUUGCUGCGCAAAACCAUCGUCACGACGGAGGGGGUUGUCUGCCCUGUCUGUUCGUGCGAGCUGGAGACGGCGGAUCACAUGGUGUUUGAGUGUCCUUUCGCCCGUUCGUUCUGGCGGGCUGUGGGAGUCGACGUGGUCGACAAAGGCUACCAGGUGGGCGCGCUCCAGGCUCUUGAUGUCCGGGGGGUGGUCGGAGAUAUUGCCUGCGCUACCUUCGUUCUUCUGUGCUGCUGGCAGAUAUGGAAGCACAGGAAUGCCGUGGUCUUCCGGGGGGCGGCGCCCUUCCUCGCGCGUCUCCUCGCUUGCUGCAGAGAAGACUCGGCCAUGUGGCGAGGACGCCUGAAAGUAGCUGAAAGGUCGUGCGUCGACACAUGGUUGCAGGUGUUCUCGUAUCCUGGGAGGUAGCCUGUGCUGCAUUGUUGAUGGUGUGAUCCCCCCCCCCUCUCUCUCUCUCUUUUUCCCUCCCAUGUAAAACUUCCUGUCUCCCCCCGGGGGUGUGAAUCAAUAGAAAAAGAAAAUUCAGGUGGAGGGCUCUUGCCCUCCCCCGGUGACCUUCAAAAAAAAGAUCGCACUAAGUGUAUAACUACGCCGAAACUAUCAAAGUGGAUCAGGUAACUGAGGCGAUGAGCUGCUUCCUACGUUCUUCAAGAUUAACCUAAAAAAAUAUCCGAACACGGAACACCUCAACCAUUUCUGUGCUAUCUUCUAUCCUCUUUCCACUGUUCAGAGCCACCAAGCCAAAUCCAAUUGGAUCCUCUGACCAUUCAGAGAGACGGUCAUUGCAAAUCCAUUCAGAGCCUACAACACAACUCCACUUUGAGCAACUGGAGCACUUGUGCAAGCCUCUGUACCAGAGCACAUGAACGAGCCUAGUAUCAUGUGCCGCUUAGAGCCUUCACAUGACUCAGGUCAGACCUUCCAAGCUAUAUGCCAGUUGAUCCUCGAAAGUUCAAUCAAAACCUCCAGGCUAAUCGUUUGGUGUCUCUCACUUGCGCUCAAAAGUGUGUGAUAGUCAGAUUUCGAGGUCCAACCAAUAUAUACCCCAACCAAACUCACUAAUUCGGUCAAGAGAGCUUCAUUUCAAAAACAUUAAUAAGGGAGAACUCCUCAGUCACGUGCUAAGUACAAAGGGCCUUCCACUAUAACAUCCAUGCCAAAAAUGUGAUUCUCUCAUCUUCUCCUUCGUUUCAAGUUAAUCUUCCAACACCCAAACUUCUCCACAUCCAAUGAUCCAUUAUACGAGAGUUUGAGUGUGGGGUGGUUAUCUUUGGAUGCACAAGAAGAAAAUUCAUCACCAAGCAACACCAAUCUUAUUACUUUGAAUGGUGUACUCCUCCUAGAUCGUCUAGGUAUGUUUGAGAGUCCUCAAAGUGCGAAGGAACCAAGAAGUUUGUGAGGGCUUAGAGACUGUCUACUUCUUUAAGAUCUACACCGAGUGAGGCUUUGCCUUUGCGGUUGAAGCCAUGGUGUAACAGGUUGGUAAACGCUUUUUCGACACUACCAAGAAUUUAAACUUUAUGUUAUUAAUGUUGGGGAACGUUGCAGAAAACAAAAAUUUUCCUACUCGUUUCACCAAGAUCAUCUAGGAGUUCAUCUAGCAACGAGUGAUUAGAUGCAUCUACAUACCUUUGUAGAUCGCGAGCAGGAGCGUUCAAAAGAACGGUGAUGAUGUAGUCGUACUCGACGUGAUUCAAAUCACCGAUGACCAGCACCGAACGGACGGCACCUCCGCGUUCAACACACGUACGGGACGGGAGACGUCUCCUCCUUCUUGAUCCAGCAAGGGGGGAGGAGAGGUUGAUGAAGAUCCAGCAGCACGACGGCGUGGUGGUGGAUGCAGGGCGUCACAGCAGCAGGGCUUCGCCGAGACUACGAGGGAGAGACGUAACGGGGGGGUGGAGGCGCCAGGGGCUGGUGUAUUAGGUCCCUCCUCUCCCCACUAUAUAUAGGGGUGCCAAGGGGGGGUGGUGCGCAGCCUAGGAGAUCCAAUCUCCUAUGGCCGGCGGCCAAGGGGAGGUUUCCCUCCCCCCCAAGGCACCUAGGGGUGCCUUCCACCACUAGGACUCCUCCUAGGGGGAAACCCUAGGCGCAUGGGCCUAUAGGGGCUGGUGCCCUUGGCCCAUGAAGGCCAAGGCGCACCCCCUACAGCCCAUGUGGCCCCCCGGGACAGGUGGCCCCACCCGGUGGACCCCCGGGACCCCUCCGGUGGUCCCGGUACAAUACCGAUAACCCCGAAACUUGUCCCGAUGCCCGAAAUAGCACUUUCUAUAUAUAAUUCUUUACCUCCGGACCAUUCCGGAACUCCUCGUGACGUCCGGGAUCUCAUCCGGGACUCCGAACAACAUUCGGGUUUCUGCAUAUACAUAUCUUCAUAACCCUAGCGUCACCGAACCUUAAGUGUGUAGACCCUACGGGUUCGGGAGACAAGCAGACAUGACCGAGACGACUCUCCGGUCAAUAACCAGCGGGAUCUGGAUACCCAUGUUGGCUCCCACAUGCUCCACGAUGAUCUCAUCGGAUGAACCACGAUGUCGAGGAUUUAAUCAAUCCCGUACGCUAUUCCCUUUGUCUAUCGAUAUGUUACUUGCCCGAGAUUCGAUCGUCGGUAUCCCAAUACCUCGUUCAAUCUCGUUACCGGCAAGUCACUUUACUCGUACCGUAAUGCAUGAUCCCGUGACCAGACACUUGGUCACUCUGAGCUCAUUAUGAUGAUGCAUUACCGAGUGGGCCCAGUGAUACCUCUCCGUCAUACGGAGUGACAAAUCCCAGUCUUGAUCCAUGUCACCCAACAGACACUUUCGGAGAUACCCGUAGUCUACCUUUAUAGUCACCCAGUUACGUUGUGACGUUUGGCAUAAUCAAAGCACUCCUACGGUAUCCGGGAGUUACACGAUCUCAUGGUCUAAGGAAAAGAUACUUGACAUUGGAAAACUCUAGCAAAUGAACUAUACGAUCUUGUGCUAUGUUUAGGAUUGGGUCUUGUCCAUCACAUCAUUCUCCUAAUGAUGUGAUCUCGUUAUCAAUGACAUCCAGUGUCCAUAGUCAGGAAACCAUGACUAUCUGUUGAUCAACGAGCUAGUCAACUAGAGGCUCACUAGGGACAUGUUGAUGUCUGUUAUUCACACAUGUAUUACGAUUUCCGGAUAACACAAUUAUAGCAUGAAUAAAGACAAUUAUCAUGAACAAGGAAAUAUAAUAAUAAUGCUUUUAUUAUUGCCUCUAGGGCAUAUUUCCAACAGUCUCCCACUUGCACUAGAGUCAAUAAUCUAGUUACAUUGUGAUGAAUCGAACACCCAUGGAAUUCUGGUGUUGAUCAUGUUUUGCUCUAGGAAGAGGUUUAGUCAACGGAUCUGCUACAUUCAGGUCCGUAUGUACUUUACAAAUCUCUAUGUCUCCAUCUUGAACAUUUUCACGAAUGGAGUUGAAGCGACGCUUGAUGUGCCUUGUCUUCUUGUGAAACCUGGGCUCCUUGGCAAGUGCAAUAGCUCCAGUGUUGUCACAGAAGAGCUUGAUUGGCCCCGACGCAUUGGGUAUGACUCCUAGGUCGGUGAUGAACUCCUUCACCCAUAUUGCUUCAUGUGCUGCCUCCGAGGCUGCCAUGUACUCCGCUUCACAUGUAGAUCCCGCCACGACGCUUUGCUUGCAACUGCACCAGCUUACUGCCCCACCAUUCAAAAUAUACACGUAUCCGGUUUGUGACUUAGAGUCAUCCAGAUCUGUGUCGAAACUAGCGUCGACGUAACCCUUUACGACGAGCUCUUCGUCACCUCCAUAAACGAGAAACAUUUCCUUAGUCCUUUUCAGGUACUUCAGGAUAUUCUUGACCGCUGUCCAGUGUUCCUUGCCGGGAUUACUUUGGUACCUUCCUACCAAACUUACGGCAAGGUUUACAUCAGGUCUGGUACACAGCAUCGCAUACAUAAUAGAACCUAUGGCUGAGGCAUAGGGGAUGACGCUCAUCUCUUCUAUAUCUUCUGCCGUGGUCGGACAUUGAGCUGAGCUCAAUUUCAUACCUUGCAACACAGGCAAGAACCCCUUCUUGGAUUGAUCCAUAUUGAACUUCUUCAAUAUCUUAUCAAGGUAUGUGCUUUGUGAAAGACCUAUGAGGCGUCUCGAUCUAUCUCUAUAGAUUUUGAUGCCUAAUAUAUAAGCAGCUUCUCCAAGGUCCUUCAUUGAAAAACUUUUAUUCAAGUAGGCCUUGAUGAUGUCCAAGAGUUCUAUAUCAUUUCCCAUCAACAGUAUGUCAUCUACAUAUAAUAUGAGAAAUGCUACAGAGCUCCCACUCACUUUCUUGUAAACGCAGGCUUCUCCAUAAGUCUGUGUAAACCCAAACGCUUUGAUCAUCUCAUCAAAGCGAAUGUUCCAACUCCGAGAUGCUUGCACCAGCCCAUAAAUCGAGCGUUGGAGCUUGCACACUUUGUCAGCAUUCUUAGGAUCGACAAAACCUUCCGGCUGCAUCAUAUACAAUUCUUCCUUAAGGAAACCAUUAAGGAAUUCCAUUUUGACGUCCAUUUGCCAUAUUUCGUAAUCAUAGAAUGCGGCAAUUGCUAACAUGAUUCAGACGGACUUCAGCUUCGCUACCGGUGAGAAAGUCUCAUCGUAGUCAACCCCUUGAACUUUUCGAUAACCCUUAGCGACAAGCCGAGCUUUAUAGAUGGUCACAUUACCAUCCGCGUCUGUCUUCCUCUUAAAGAUCCAUUUAUUUUCUAUGGCUCGCCGCUCAAUGGGCAAGUCAGUCAAAGUCCAUACUUUGUUUUCAUACAUGGAUCCUAUCUCGGAUUUCAUGGCUUCUAGCCAUUUGUCGGAAUCCGGGCCCGCCAUCGCUUCUUCAUAGUUCGAAGGUUCACCGUUGUCUAACAGCAUGAUUUCCAAGACAGGGUUGCCGUACCACUCUGGUGCGGAACGUGUCCUUGUGGACCUUCGAAUUUCAGUAGGGGCUUGAUCAGAAGUAUCUUGAUCAUUGUCAUUAAUUUCCUCUCCAGUCGGUGUAGGCACCUCAGGAACAUUUUCUUGAGUUGCGCCAUUUUCCGGCUCAAGAGGUAAUACUUCAUCAAGCUCUACUUUCCUCCCACUUACUUCUUUCGAGAGAAACUCUUUCUCCAGAAAGGACCCAUUCUUGGCAACAAUGAUCUUGCCUUCGGAUAUGAGGUAGAAGGUGUACCCAAUAGUUUCUUUUGGGUAUCCUAUGAAGACGCAUUUUUCCGACUUGGGUUCGAGCUUUUCAGGUUGAAGUUUCUUGACAUAAGCAUCGCAUCCCCAAACUUUUAGAAACGACAGCUUAGGUUUCUUCCCAAACCAUAAUUCAUACGGUGUCGUCUCAACGGAUUUCGACGGAGCCCUAUUUAAAGUGAAUGCGGCAGUCUCUAAAGCAUAGCCCCAAAAAGAAAGCGGUAAAUCGGUAAGAGACAUCAUAGAUCGCACCAUAUCUAACAGAGUGUGAUUACGACGUUCGGACACACCAUUACGCUGAGGUGUUCCAGGCGGCGUGAGUUGUGAAACUAUUCCACAUUUUCUUAAGUGUGCCCCAAACUCGUGACUCAAGUAUUCUCCUCCAUGAUCUGAUCGUAGAAACUUGAUUUUCCUGUCACGUUGAUUUUCAACCUCACUCUGAAAUUCCUUGAACUUUUCAAAGGUUUCAGACUUGUGUUUCAUUAAGUAGAUAUACCCAUACCUACUUAAAUCAUCAGUGAGGGUGAGAACAUAACGAUAGCCACCGCGAGCCUCAACACUCAUCGGACCGCACACAUCAGUAUGUAUGAUUUCCAAUAAGUCGGUUGCUCGCUCCAUUGUUCCUGAGAACGGAGUCUUGGUCAUUUUACCCAUAAGGCAUGGUUCGCACGUGUCAAAUGAUACAUAAUCAAGAGACUCUAAAAGUCCAUCAGCAUGGAGCUUCUUCAUGCGUUUGACACCUAUGUGACCAAGGCGGCAGUGCCACAAGUAUGUGGGACUAUCAUUAUCAACCUUACUUCUUUUGGUACUCACAUUAUGAACAUGUGUAGCAUCACGUUCGAGAUUCAUAAAGAAUAAACCAUUCACCAUAGGAGCAUGACCAUAAAACAUAUCUCUCAAAAAAAUGGAACAACCAUUAUUCUCAGAUUUAAAAGAGUAGCCAUCUCGAAUUAAACGAGAUCCCGAUACAAUGUUCAUGCUCAAAGCUGGCACUAAAUAACAAUUAUUAAGGUUUAAAACUAAUCCCGAAGGGAGAUGCAGAGGUAGCGUGCCGACGGCGAUCACAUUGACCUUGGAACCAUUCCCAACGUGCAUCGUCACCUCAUCCUUUGCCAGUUUCCGUUUAUUCCGCAGCCCCUGCUUUGAGUUACAAAUGUGAGCAACUGCACCGGUAUCAAAUACCCAGGAGCCACUACGGGCACUAGUAAGGUACACAUGUAUAUCACAUAUACCUUUGGUUUUGCCGGCCUUCUUAUCCGCUAAGUACUUAGGGCAGUUCCGCUUCCAGUGACCGCUUUCCUUGCAAUAAAAGCACUCAGUCUCGGGCUUGGGUCCAUUCUUUGGCUUCUUCCCGGCAGCUUGCUUGCCGGGCGCGGCAACCCCCUUGCCGUCCUUCUUGAAGUUCUUUUUACCCUUGCCUUUCUUGAACUUAGUGGUUUUAUUGACCAUCAACACUUGAUGUUCCUUCCUGACUUCUACCUCUGCUGAUUUCAGCAUAGCAAAUACUUCAGGAAUGGUCUUUUCCAUCCCCUGCAUAUUGAAGUUCAUCACAAAGCUCUUGUAGCUUGGUGGAAGCGACUGGAGGAUUCUAUCAAUGACCGCAUCAUCCGGGAGAUUAACUCCCAGCUGAGUCAAGCGGUUAUGCAACCCAGACAUAGUGAGUAUGUGCUCACUGACAGAACUGUUUUCCUCCAUCUUACAGCUGAAGAAUUUGUCGGAGACUUCAUAUCUCUCGACCCGGGCAUGAGCUCGGAAAACCAUUUUCAGCUCUUCGAACAUCUCAUAUGCUCCAUGUCUCUCAAAACGCUUUUGGAGCCCCGGCUCUAGGCUGUAAAGCAUGCCGCACUGAACGAGGGAGUAGUCAUCGAAACGUGCCUGCCAAGCGUUCAUAACGUCUUGUUCCGCAGGGAGAACGGGUGCGUCACCAAGCGGUGCUUGUAGGACAUAAUCUUUCUUGGCAGCUAUGAGGAUGAUCCUCAGGUUCCGGACCCAGUCCGUAUAGUUGCUGCCAUCGUCUUUCAGCUUAGUUUUCUCUAGGAACGCGUUGAAGUUGAGGACUACGUUGGCCAUUUGAUCUACAAGACAUAUUGCAAAGAUUUUAGACUAAGUUCAUGAUAAUUAAGUUCAACUAAUCAAAUUAUUAGUGAACUCCCACUUAGAUUAGACAUCCCUCUAGUCAUCUAAGUAUUACAUGAUCCGAGUUAAACUAGACCGUGUCCGAUCAUCACGUGAGACGGACUAGUCAACAUCGGUGAACAUCUUCAUGUUGAUCGUAUCUUCUAUACGACUCAUGCUCGACCUUUCGGUCUUCUGUGUUCCGAGGCCAUGUCUGUACAUGCUAGGCUCGUCAAGUCAACCUAAGUGUUUGCAUGUGUAAAUCUGUCUUACACCCGUUGUAUGUGAACGUCUGAAUAAAACACCCGAUCAUCACGUGGUAUUUUGAAACAGCGAACUGUCGCAACGGUGCACAGUUAGGGGGAACACUUCUUGAAAUUAUUGUGAGGGAUCAUCUUAUUUACUACUGUCGUUCUAAGUAAACAAGAUGCAAAACAUGAUAAACAUCACAUGCAAUCAAAUAAUAAGCGUGACAUGAUAUGGCCAUUAUCACAUAGCUCCUUUGAUCUCCAUCUUGGGGCUCCAUGAUCAUCUUGUCACCGGCUUGACACCAUGAUGUCCAUCAUCAUGAUCUCCAUCAUCGUGUCUCCAUGAAGUUGCUCGCCAACUAUUACUUCUACUACUAUGGCUAACGCGUUUAGCAAUAAAGUAAAGUAAUUUACAUGGCGUUUCUUGAUGACACGCAGGUCAUAUAAAAGAAUAAAGACAACUCCUAUGGCUCCUGCCGGUUGUCAUACUCAUCGACAUGCAAGUCGUGAAUCCUAUUACAAUAGCAUGAACAUCUCAUACAUCACAUAUAGAUCAUUCAUCAUUCAUCACAACUUUGGCCAUAUCAUAUCACAAACCACUUGCUGCAAAAACAAGUUAGACGUCCUCUAAUUGUUGUUGCAAGUUUUACGUGGCUGAAUUAGGGUUCUAGCAAGAACGUUUUCUUACCUACGUUAAAGCCACAACGUGAUUUGUCAACUUCUAUUUACCCUUCAUAAGGACCCUGUUCAUCGAUUUCGCUCCAACUAAAGUAGGAGAGACAGACACCCGCCAGCCACCUUAUGCAACUAGUGCAUGUUAGUCGGUGGAACCGGUCUCACGUAAGCGUACGUGUAAGGUUGGUCCGGGCCGCUUCAUCCCACAAUACCGCUGAAGCAAGAAAGGACUAGUAACGGCAAGAAAGUUGACAAAUCUACGCCCACAACAAAUUGUGUUCUACUCGCGCAAGAAGAACUACGCAUAGACCUAGCUCAUGAUGCCACUGUUGGGGAACGUUGCAGAAAACAAAAAUUUUCCUACUCGUUUCACCAAGAUCAUCUAGGAGUUCAUCUAGCAACGAGUGAUUAGAUGCAUCUACAUACCUUUGUAGAUCGCGAGCGGAAGCGUUCAAAAGAACGGUGAUGAUGUAGUCGUACUCGACGUGAUUCAAAUCACCGAUGACCAGCGCCGAACGGACGGCACCUCCGCGUUCAACACACGUACGGGACGGGAGACGUCUCCUCCUUCUUGAUCCAGCAAGGGGGGAGGAGAGGUUGAUGAAGAUCCAGCAGCACGACGGCGUGGUGGUGGAUGCAGGGCGUCACAGCAGCAGGGCUUCGCCGAGACUACGAGGGAGAGACGUAACGGGGGGAGGUGGAGGCGCCAGGGGCUGGUGUAUUAGGUCCCUCCUCUCCCCACUAUAUAUAGGGGUGCCAAGGGGGGGUGGUGCACAGCCUAGGAGAUCCAAUCUCCUAUGGCCGGCGGCCAAGGGGAGGUUUCCCUCCCCCCCAAGGCACCUAGGGGUGCCUUCCACCACUAGGACUCCUCCUAGGGGGAAACCCUAGGCGCAUGGGCCUAUAGGGGCUGGUGCCCUUGGCCCAUGAAGGCCAAGGCGCACCCCCUACAGCCCAUGUGGCCCCCCGAGACAGGUGGCCCCACCCGGUGGACCCCCGGGACCCCUCCGGUGGUCCCGGUACAAUACCGAUAACCCCGAAACUUGUCCCGAUGCCCGAAAUAGCACUUCCUAUAUAUAAUUCUUUACCUCCGGACCAUUCCGGAACUCCUCGUGACGUCCGGGAUCUCAUCCGGGACUCCGAACAACAUUCGGGUUUCUGCAUAUACAUAUCUUCAUAACCCUAGCGUCACCGAACCUUAAGUGUGUAGACCCUACGGGUUCGGGAGACAAGCAGACAUGACCGAGACGACUCUCCGGUCAAUAACCAACAGCGGGAUCUGGAUACCCAUGUUGGCUCCCACAUGCUCCACGAUGAUCUCAUCGGAUGAACCACGAUGUCGAGGAUUUAAUCAAUCCCGUACGCUAUUCCCUUUGUCUAUCGAUAUGUUACUUGCCCGAGAUUCGAUCGUCGGUAUCCCAAUACCUCGUUCAAUCUCGUUACCGACAAGUCACUUUACUCGUACCGUAAUGCAUGAUCCCGUGACCAGACACUUGGUCACUUUGAGCUCAUUAUGAUGAUGCAUUACCGAGUGGGCCCAGUGAUACCUCUCCGUCAUACGGAGUGACAAAUCCCAGUCUUGAUCCAUGUCACCCAACAGACACUUUCGGAGAUACCCGUAGUCUACCUUUAUAGUCACCCAGUUACGUUGUGACGUUUGGCAUACCCAAAGCACUCCUACGGUAUCCGGGAGUUACACGAUCUCAUGGUCUAAGGAAAAGAUACUUGACAUUGGAAAACUCUAGCAAAUGAACUAUACGAUCUUGUGCUAUGUUUAGGAUUGGGUCUUGUCCAUCACAUCAUUCUCCUAAUGAUGUGAUCUCGUUAUCAAUGACAUCCAGUGUCCAUAGUCAGGAAACCAUGACUAUCUGUUGAUCAACGAGCUAGUCAACUAGAGGCUCACUAGGGACAUGUUGAUGUCUGUUAUUCACACAUGUAUUACGAUUUCCGGAUAACACAAUUAUAGCAUGAAUAAAGACAAUUAUCAUGAACAAGGAAAUAUAAUAAUAAUGCUUUUAUUAUUGCCUCUAGGGCAUAUUUCCAACAAUUAAAUCAUAGAAAUGUUGUGGUUUUAACCUCCGUCAAUAAGAACGUUUGACGAUACCAACUAUUCAAACAUGAGGAAAAUGGUGUUUGCAAUCUCUAUCAAGUACUCCCUUACUCAUUGAAAGUUUUAUCUCCACUAUAUUAGUCAGGAUGUAUUUCAUGAUUCAACAAUCCUAUAUAUCCCUCUAUAUAUUAUCGUAUGCAUUUGAACAAGUCAAAUGCCUGACCAGUGGCACCUCAUCAUCUCCAACGACCACCCCCAACUACCCAUCAAAUCUUAAAUGCAGCCCGUUGUUUAUAUGUCCUUUCUUUUUGCGGGGAGUUGUUUCUGUGCCCUUGAUCAUAUCUUGCUAGUACUGGCCAUCUAAUAUUUUAGUUGGAGAAAAUUGGAAGUUCGGAAAAUUGAUUGUGUGAUUAACUAUUCCCUUCAAGGUUGUGUUUCUGUAGUAUAAUUUAGUACGACGAAAGAAAGAGCUUAAAGCCGAAGAUAUGGUAAUCCGUAUUAUCUUUUUCUUCACCUUUAGUGAGAAAUCCGUGUCCGCCCCAGCAAGAAAACAUAUGUGCGUGUACAGAAGCACAACAACUUUCACGCUCAUUCCUUACUCCAAAACUAUAGGUUUUAGCCCUCCGUUCGCUGGUCGCCAAAGACGAUACUCAACCAUCUGACCCUAAUCAUGUAAUCGAAGCUCGCGAUCGUAACCGCCCCGCUCGUUCAUAUUACACGUGAAACUGUCCGAAAUAAAUAAGUGUUAGCAAUUCAACACUCAGUUCCAAUCUAGGGCUGUUAGAGACAUUUCAUCACACAACUCAUACAACAAUCAUAGGCUGAAAUCUCAGAAAAGAACUAGACGGUGGAUUUUAUGAGCAGUUGAUUUUGUGGGCAGAUUACCAAAAUCACAUUCUGAAGAAUCAUGGGGGAAAAGAAUUGGCCCAUACACACCCUCCAAAAGGACGUCCCUUCCCCAAAGGGCAGAUGCCAAGCCACAGAAAAGCAGCAGUCCAUGGGACUGCAGAUCCUCAGCUCCACGCCGGAGCACUCCUCCCAGCACUCUUCCGGCGCGUCCACGGCCACGACCGAGUCGGGUGCCGCCGGCCGGCUGCCGACGCCGCUGGGCCUACCUGUCGCCAUCCCCGACGAGGCCGUGACCUCGCGCUCGGCGUCGGCAUCGGCGCAGUCGGCGUCGUCGCGGUUCAAGGGCGUGGUGCCGCAGCCCAACGGGCGGUGGGGCGCCCAGAUCUACGAUCGCCACGCGCGCGUCUGGAUCGGCACGUUCCCCGACGAGGACGCCGCGGCGCGCGCCUACGACGUGGCCGCGCUCCGCUACCGCGGCCUCGACGCCGCCACCAACUUCCCGCGCACGGCCGCGUCGACGGAGCUCGCCUUCCUGGCGGCGCACUCCAAGGCCGAGAUCGUCGACAUGCUCCGCAAGCACACCUACUCCGACGAGCUCCGCCGGGGCCUGCGCCGCGGCCGCGGCAUUGGGGGCCGCGCGGAGCCGACGCCGUCGUGGGCGAGGGAGCCGCUCUUCGAGAAGGUCCUGACGCCGAGCGACGUCGGCAAGCUGAACCGCAUCGUGUUGCCGAAGCAGCACGCCGAGAAGCACAUCCCCCUGAAGCGCGCGCCGGAGACAACGACCGCCGCUGACAAGUGCGUGCUGCUCAACUUCGAGGACGGCGAGGGGAAGGUGUGGCGGUUCAGGUACUCGUACUGGAACAGCAGCCAGAGCUACGUGCUCACCAAGGGCUGGAGCCGGUUCGUCCGGGAGAAGGGCCUCGUCGCCGGCGACGUCGUCGUGUUCUCCUGCUCAGAGUACGGACAGGAGAAGCACUUCUUCAUCGACUACAAGAAGACCAUGACGGCGAGUGGCGGCGCAGCGGCGUCGCCGCCGCCGGUGGUGGAGACAGGCAAAAGAGAAGAAGCCCAUGUCGUGAGGCUGUUCGGCGUCGACCUCGCCGGAGAGAUGAGGGGGCUAGCGGCGCCGGCGGGGCUGGAGUUGUUCAAGAGGCAAUGGCAUUAGCGAGUAUGUUUGGUUUUGCAGCUGAGAAAUCUUUGCUAAACCAGUAGGAGUACUAUACUACUCCCUCCGUUCCCAAAUACUUGUCUUUCUAGGCAUUUCAAAUGAACUCAACAUACGGAUGUAUGUAGACAUAUUUUAAAGUGUAGAUUCACUCAUUUUGCGCCGUAUGUAGUCAUUUGUUGAAAUCUCUAGAAAGACAAGUAUUUAGGAACGGAGGGAGCAAUGUUCAUGAUCCUAAACAUGGUGGGCAUUGUGAGCUUAAUUACAUGAAGAGAAAAUUUGAACGGCUUGUUGGUCUUGGAUUGCAUUACGAUACUACGUAUUAAUUUGAUUACUAGGAGUAGUUCAUUCACAUGGCUAAAUGUGCCAAUUGCUAUCCUCAUUUGCAUUCAUUUUGGGGAAAUAUUGCGCAGGGUUAUCUCUUGCUUGAAUGGAUCAUAAAUUUGAGCAUUCAUCUUGUCUAAAUGACUAAAUCUCCAAGUAGCUUCAACUUCAUCAUUCAUUCAUUCUUACAUCAGUUAUACGAAAAGGGGUGGAGUGCAUAAUUUGUAAGAGUUGUCAUCAUGAAGCAUGAAUACACAGAUUAAAGAUUUUCGUUUUUCUCUAUUUUCUGGUUGUUUUUUCUAUUAAUGUUCAUGGCCCUACUGUUUUAGAUCUUGCUAGCAUAUACUUUCACGAAUAAUAUGCUCUGCCGGAAACUAUAACAAAAGUUAGUAACCUAUAUAUGUUACUUGUAUGUACUUAUUAAAGAAUAGCCUCACUCGUGGUAGUGCAAAAAAAGUAUUUUUCAUGCACUCAACUUACAAAAUUAUUUCCUCCGUCCGAGUUUAUAAGCCCCCUCGAAUUUUGAGUUAUACGCCAUAAAAAGGCUCAAAAUUUUGAGGGGUUCUAACGAGUCAUGAGGGGGCAGGUAGUACUCCCUCCGGUCCUUUUUACUUUGCACAUUGGAUUUGCCGAAAGUCAAACUUUGCUAAGUUUGACCAAAUUUAUAUUAGAAAUUAUUAGCAUCUAUAAUAUCUAAUAAAUAUAAUAUGAAAAUAUAUUCUAAGAUGAAUCUAAUGAUAUUGGUGUUGUUAUGUGAAUGUCUAUAAUUUUUUAUAUAAACUUGAUCAAAGUUGGAUGAGAUUGACUUCGGACAAAUCUAAUAUGCAGAGUAAAAAGGACCGGAGGGAGUACUAGUAGUAUUCUUUGUGCUACAAGAAACCAUGGUGUUUUCCUUUUCAAUUUGAAAAGGAGGGCCUCUUGAUUGAUGCAAACAACCAUUACAGCAUUAUGCUAAUUAAAUUACCUUUUUUACACACACUAUAAAUUGAGAAACUCCCCACUCAAUUUCUUUUGAGAAACUAAAGGUGGUGAGCAAAAAAUGUUGAUUUUGCCACCUGUUCUUUCAUUAACGAAACCGCCCUUUCGAGUGCUGAUAAAAACGUGUUGCGUUUGAGAGAAUGAACAGUUGAUUUCGCUGAUUAAACAUUAAGGUAUAUAUACCUUCGAUACAAAGACAGUAAUUACAUAGGCGGUAUGUGGUGGUUGCCUUUUUAAUAAAAAAUACGGGAAAUUUUAAACUUAAAAUAGAGCAUAAAAAGAUACAAACACAAUGCACAAGAACUGUUCUGUGUUUCCGGCCAGGAGAUGCUCACGGGCCAUCUCAAUCCUUCAUGACUCGGGGCUAAAUCUCGUGUUUUGACCCUUUUUUGAAACCUAUUCAAGAUUUGAUUCUAAUUUAAGAAAAAUCAAGAUUUGACCCUUUUGCUACCGCCAGGGACUAUGGUGGUAAGGUAUAACAGUCUAUCGCCAAGGUCCCUAGCGGUAGGGUUAUAUGCCCUACCACCAAAAAAACUCCUAAGUAUUGAACACAAUGCGUGCUCGUAUCUAUCGCCAAGCAUCUUGCCGGUAGGGUUGUGCAGGCUACCGCCGGCCCGGUUAACAAUACCGAUGUUUCCUACCGCCAGAGACCAUGGCGGUAGGCUGGAGCCAGUCUACCAGCCUACCGCCAUGGUCUCUAGCGGUAGCAAAAGGGUCAGAUUAUGAAAAAAUUUCAAACUAAGGUUCAGAAAGGAGUCAAAACAGGAAUUUGCCAGGACUCGGAAGGCGUGGCUGUGGCUGCUACGGCCGUAUUCAUGGCUGCCACAGCACAGCCGCUGGGCUCGUCAGCUGCCCCAGUGGGACCCAGUCCUGUACCCGCGUCAGAGAUGCAGACGACCGUCUUUGCGGUCAAAUAGUCAAUUGGCCAAUGGUUCCCGUGUCUUCGUGCCCAAGUCUUUCGAUCAUUUGUCGUAAAAAAGUCUGUCAAUCAGUUCAUGUCAUGUGUCCCGUAGCGAUGCACUGUAGCAUACUAGGUGCAGAUUUUCAUGCAACUUUACGCGUCACAUUUUCUUCCCGUUGGGAUACCAUGGCCCGGGAGAAUAAUCCGGUGAUACCAACUCUCCUUUGUUUCCAUGCUCCCACUUCAGAAGGAAAAAAAAGAGAAUUUAUGUGUUUUAAAAAUAGCUAAAAGGAUUUAUGAACGUUCACAAGACAUAUAUCUAUCAUCCUUAAAAGUUCCAGAUCCAAAUUCGAAUACACAUUUAUUUGCAAACAAAUGAAUACACAUUGAGAAAAUGAAAAGGUAAAGCCAGAUUUGAGCAGUGUCAUCUAGGGGUGGAUUAAUGAGCUGCUCGGCUCGUUAAGCUCGUUACGAUUAACGAGCAGGAAACCCUGCUCGGCUCGAUUCGUUUGAAACUCGUUAAACUCGUGAGCGCUCGUUAACAGAUUCUGAUGUGUCACGGUCUGCAUGAUGAGUGUGUAUAUGCGUUUUAUAAGAAGGAACAUGGCGAGUACAAAAGAAAAUGCACUAGCUUGUUGUCUCCUAUGUAGAGUAGAUUGAAUAGAUGGGAUGAAGUGCUACAAAAAUUUUGUCACGUGCGAUAAAAAUAUGUGUUGUCUUGUUACUAACGAGUUUAACGAGCUACUCGUGAAACUCGUUAGCUCAUUCGUUAAGCUCAUAAAGCUUAACAAGCUAAAAUCAAUGAUUGACUCUAUUCAUUAAGAAGCGAGCCAUGAGCUUAACGAGUCGAAAAAAAUUCAAUUAAACAAAGGCGAAAGCACCUGCCUCGAGAUAUUGCAGUGUCCCGAUUGGCGAUCCACGAUCAGGCGACAGCACGACGCCCCAGUUCCUGGCUUUCCGACGAGUCGUGUGUUCCUGGGCCCAGAACGAGAAUUGAAGGCCCGUGCUUGCCGAAAGUGGAUCUUAGCCCAAGGAAGCCUGGUCGCAGGAGGACACUGGAGCGUUGUUCUUUCUCAUUUUUAGUGAGUUCUACGUGUGAAAUGAACACCAUGCAUGAUAUAUAUGCAUAUAUGAGCAUCUAGACUAAAUAUCUAUUGCAGAAUGCAUUAGGCUAGCUCCGCCCCUCAUACAUGCCUUCCUAGUUCAGCCCACAUGACCCACAUAUCAUGUUUCCCUCUCUUCGAAGGCAAAGUCGAGGGGCUUUUAAGUCAUGUAAAUUUACCGGUUUAGAUGAAGUUCAACAUCCAUGCAUACUUUGGCAUCACAUCAUUUUAAAACUACAGGAUGUGCAGUUGCUUUAUGUUGACAUAAUAGUUUCUUAUUCUAAUGGCGCCCAAUCAUUUAAACAACUACAGAUACAUAAAUAAAAGGAAAUUACACAGCAACACACAAACAUUUAGGUACUCUCUCUCUCUCUCUGUUUCUUUUUACUCCGCAUAUAAAACUGUCUUAACUCAAAUUUUAUAAAUUUUCAUCAAAUUUAUAUUAAAAAAUAUCAACAUCUAUACAAUACUAAAGAUAUAUAAUUUGAAAUUUUAUUCCAUGAUGCAUCUAAUGAUAUUGAUUUGGUAUAGUGAAUGUUGAUAAUUUUUUGUAUAAAAUUGGCCAAACUUUACAAAGUUUGAGUCAAGACAAAUCUUAUAUGAGAGUAAAGAAAUAGAGGGAGUAGUUUACAUACAAAUGAGUCACACAGUGCAUUACGAAAAUAUUGAAUAAACACAUUAUGAAAAUAUAUCUAAUGGUGGGUAUAUUGAAAUUGAUUUGAUAUUAUUUAUCUUCAUAUUUUUUUUUGAACUGUCACCGGGGGAGGGAUAACAAUCCCUCCACCUGUAUUUUUUAUUGCCAAAUCACCAUAAGGAAGGGGGGAGGCCCUNNNNNNNNNNNNNNNNNNNNNNNNNNNNNNNNNNNNNNNNNNNNNNNNNNNNNNNNNNNNNNNNNNNNNNNNNNNNNNNNNNNNNNNNNNNNNNNNNNNNNNNNNNNNNNNNNNNNNNNNNNNNNNNNNNNNNNNNNNNNNNAUCUAACAACACAGACUAGAUCACCGCACCAACGCACUCACCCAAGCAUCAACAUGCGAGCGAUCACUGGGACGUAACCGCUCCCGCCAGAGAACAUCAUCCUCGCGACAGCAGCUUAACGCCCGAUCUAGAGACGGCACCAUAGCUUGAAAGAGCACACCAUUCCAAUGCUUCCAUAGGUGCCAGCAGCAAAGAAGGACAAAGGCGUCAGGAGAGGCCUCUCCGACAGUUGCCCUCACAUCGAAGGCGUGGAGCCGACCCACCGAAGUGUUCCUCGCGAUUACUGCAACCCCCACGGCGCGCCAGAACGCGCUCGCGAAUGGGCAGCCAAACAUCAAGUGGUCCGCAGUUUCCAGCUCGGCCAAGCAUACGGGGCAUCCGCCCCCCGCCCGAUCAACAAUGGUUUUCCGAAGGAGGACAACCCGGGUGUUAACCCCGUGGUGGAUAAGCAACCAGCAGAAGAAUUUCACCCGGGACGGCAUGCGCGCCCCCCAAAUGAAGGCCGCAUGCGGCGAGAAACACCCGCCAAAACGCAGCAGGGCGUAAGCGUGGCUCGUGACAAGGGCCCCGUCCGUGGAUGCCCACAGAGCGGCAGCGCCCUCUCAUCCACGCCCGGCGUCGCUUGGGAAGCCGGGAGGAGGGCGAGGAGGGCCGCGCGCUCCCUAGCGCCAGCCCCGGUGAACCUUGGGACCAGGAUGUGGUUGAGCCCGGACUCCCACACUCGAGACACGGUGGCCUCGGGGCACGUGGUAUGCGAGUGGAGCCGGAAAGGCGACACUCAGGGGCCGCAAGGCAGCCACCAGUCAUGCCAGAAGGAGGUCCUCCGCCCGUCUUUCACACGCACACGAGUCAUGGCUGUUGGGGAACGUAGCAGAAUUUUAAAAUUUUCUACGCAUCACCAAGAUCAAUCUAUGGAGUCAUCUAGCAACGAGGGAGAGAGGAGUGCAUCUACAUACCCUUGUAGAUCAUGAGUGGAAGCGUUCAAAAGAACGGGGUUGAUGGAGUCGUACUCGUCGUGAUCCAAAUCACUGAAGAUCCUAGCGCCGAACGGACGGCACCUCCACGUUCAACACACGUACGGAGCGAGGACGUCUCCCGCGCCUUGAUCCAGCAAGGAGGAGGGAGAGGUUGAGGAAGAGGGCUCCAACAGCAGCACGACGGCGUGGUGGUGGUGAAGCUGCAGUACUCCGGCAGGGCUUCGCCAAGCUCUUACGGAGGAGGAGAGGUGUUGGGGAGGGGAGGGGUUGCACCUUGGAUGUUGUGUGCAACCCUCCCCUCACCCCUCUAUUUAUACGGGAAGGGGGAAGGGGGCUGGCCCCCUCUAGAUGGGAUCUAGAGGGGGGGCGGCGGCCAAGGGGAGGGGGGCUUGCCCCCCAAGCAAGGGGGCGCCCUCUUUAGGGUUUCCCCCCAACCCUAGGCGCAUGGGCCCUAGGGGGGUGUGGCGCCCCAGCCCACUUGGGCUGGUUCCCUUCUCCAUACAGCCCAUAAGGCCCUCCGGAAGAGGUGGCCCCUCCCGGUGGACCCCCGGAACCCCUCCGGUGGCCCCGGUACAAUACCGAUAUGCCCCCCGAACCUUUCCGGCGACCGUAUGACAACUUCCCAUAUAUAAAUCUUUACCUCCGGACCAUUCCGGAACUCCUCGUGAUGUCCGGAUCUCAUCCGGGACUCCGAACAACAUUCGCUAAUCACAUACAAGUCUUCCUAACAACCCUAGCGUCACCGAACCUUAAGUGUGUAGACCCUACGGGUUCGGGGGACAUGCAGACAUGAUCGAGACGACUCUCCGAUCAAUAACACACAGCGGGAUCUGGAUACCCAUGUUGGCUCCCACAUGCUCCAUGAUGAUCUCAUCGGAUGAACCACGAUGUCGAGGAUUCAAUCAAUCCGUAUACAAUUCCCUUUGUCAAUCGGUACGUUACUUGCCCGAGACUCGAUCGUCGGUAUCCCAAUACCUUGUUCAGUCUCGUUACCGGUAAGUCACUUUACUCGUACCGUAAUGCAUGAUCCCGUGAUCAACCACUUGAUCACAUUGAGCUCAUUAUGAUGAUGCAUUACCGAGUGGGCCCAGACAUACCUCUCCGUCAUACGGAGUGACAAAUCCCAGUCUCGAUUCGUGCCAACCCAACAGACACUUUCGGAGAUACCUGUAAUGUGCCUUUAUAGUCACCCAGUUACGUUGUGACGUUUGGCACACCCAAGGCACUCCUACGGUAUCCGGGAGUUGCACAAUCUCAUGGUCUAAGGAAAUGAUACUUGACAUUCAGAAAAGCUACAACAAACGAACUACACGAUCUUUGAGCUAUGCUUAGGAUUGGGUCUUGUCCAUCACAUCAUUCUCCUAAUGAUGUGAUCCCGUUAUCAAUGACAUCCAAUGUCCAUAGUCAGAAAACCAUGACUAUCCUUUGAUCAACGAGCUAGUCAACUAGAGGCUCACUAGGGACGUGUUGUGGUCUAUGUAUUCACACAUGUAUUACGAUUUCCAGAUAACACAAUUAUAGCAUGAACAAUAGACAAUUAUCAUGAACAAAGAAAUAUAAUAAUAACCAUUUUAUUAUUGCGUCUAGGGCAUAUUUCCAACAGUCUCCCACUUGCACUAGAGUCAAUAUUCUAGUUACAUUGUGAUGAAUCGAACACCCAUGCAGUUCUGGUGUUGAUCAUGUGUUGCUCUAGGGAGAGGUUUAGUCAACGGAUCUGCCACAUUCAGGUCCGUAUGUACUUUACAAAUCUCUAUGUCUCCAUUUUGAACACUUUCACGAAUGGAGUUGAAGCGACGCUUGAUAUGCCUGGUCUUCCUGUGAAACCUGGGCCCCUUGGCAAGGGCAAUAGCUCCAGUGUUGUCACAGAAGAGAGUCAUCGGGCCCGACGCAUUGGGUAUGACUCCUAGGUCGGUAAUGAACUCCUUCACCCAGACUGCUUCUUGUGCUGCCUCCGAGGCUGCCAUGUACUCCGCUUCACAUGUAGAUCCCGCCACAACGCUUUGCUUGCAACUGCACCAGCUUACUGCCCCACCAUUCAAAAUAUACACGUAUCCGGUUUGUGACUUAGAGUCAUCCAGAUCUGUGUCGAAGCUAGCAUCGACGUAACCCUUUACGACGAGCUCUUCGUCACCUCCAUAAACGAGAAACAUUUCCUUAGUCCUUUUCAGGUACUUUAGGAUAUUCUUGACCGAUGUCCAGUGUUCCAUGCCGGGAUUACUUUGGUACCUUCCUACCAAACUUACGGCAAGGUUUACAUCAGGUCUGGUACACAACAUAGCAUACAUGAUAGACCCUAUGGCCGAGGCAUAGGGGACGACACUCAUCUUUUCUCUAUCUUCUGCCAUGGUCGGGCAUUGAGCCGUGCUCAAUCUCGUACCUUGCAAUACAGGCAAGAACCCCUUCUUUGACUGAUCCAUUUUGAACUUCUUCAAUAUCUUGUCAAGGUGCGUACUCUGUGAAAGACCAAUGAGGCGUCUCGAUCUAUCUCUAUAGAUCUUGAUGCCUACUAUAUAAGCAGCAUCUCCAAGGUCCUUCAUUUAAAAACACUUGUUCAAGUAGGCCUUUAUGCUUUCCAAGAAUUCUAUAUCAUUUCCCAUCAACAGUAUGUCAUCCACAUAUAAUAUGAGAAAUGCUAUAGAGCUCCCACUCACUUUCUUGUAAAUGCAGACUUCUCCAUAAGUCUGGAUAAACCCAAACGCUUUGAUCAUCUCAUCAAAACGAAUGUCCAAACUCCGAGAUGCUUGCACCAACCCAUAAAUCGAGCGUUGGAGCUUGCACACCUUGUCAGCAUUCUUAGGAUCGACAAAACCUUCCAGCUGCAUCAUAUACAAUUCUUCCUUAAGGAAACCAUUAAGGAAUGCCGUUUUGACGUCCAUUUGCCAUAUCUCAUAAUCAUAGAAUGCGGCAAUUGCUAACAUGAUUCAGACGGACUUCAACGCCGCUACGAGUGAGAAAGUCUCAUCGUAGUCAACCCCUUGAACUUGUCGAUAACCCUUAGCGACAAGCCGAGCUUUAUAGAUGGUCACAUUACCAUCCGCGUCUGUCUUCUUCUUAAAGAUCCAUUUAUUUUCUAUGGCUCGCCGAUCAACGGGCAAGUCAGUCAAAGUCCAUACUUCAUUUUCAUACAUGGAUCCUAUCUCGGAUUUCAUGGCUUCCAGCCAUUUGUCGGAAUCCGGGCACGCCAUCGCUUCUUCAUAGUUCGAAGGUUCACCGUUGUCUGACAACAUGAUUUCCAAGACAGGGUUGCCGUACCACUCUGGUGCGGAACAUGUCCUUGUGGACCUAUGAAGUUCAGUAGCAACUUGAUCUGAAGUUUCAUGAUCAUCAUCAUCAACUUCCUCUCUAGUUGGUGCAGGCACCUCAGGAACAUUUUCUUGAGCUGCGCCACUUACCGGUUCAAGAGGUAAUACUUCAUCAAGUUCUACCUUCCUCCCACUUAUUUCUUUCGAGAGAAACUCUUUCUCUAGAAAGGAACCAUUCUUGGCAACAAAGAUCUUGCCUUCGGGUCUGAGGUAGAAGGUAUACCCAACAGUUUCUUUAGGGUAUCCUAUGAAGAUGCAUUUUUCCGACUUGGGUUCGAGCUUUUCAGGUUGAAGUUUCUUGACAUAAGCAUCGCAUCCCCAAACUUUUAGAAACAACAGCUUAGGUUUCUUCCCAAACCAUAAUUCAUACGGUGUCGUCUCAACGGAUUUUGACGGAGCCCUAUUUAAAGUGAAUGCGGCAGUCUCUAAAGCAUAGCCCCAAAAUGACAGCGGUAAAUCGGUAAGAGACAUCAUAGAUCGCACCAUAUCCAAUAGAGUGUGAUUACGACGUUCGGACACACCAUUACGCUGAGGUGUUCCAGGCAGCGUGAGUUGUGAAACUAUUCCACAUUUUCUUAAGUGUGUGCCAAAUUCGUGACUCAAGUAUUCUCCCCCACGAUCUGAUCGCAAGAACUUGAUUUUCUUGUCACGUUGAUUCUCAACCUCACUCUGAAAUUCCUUGAACUUUUCAAAGGUCUCAGACUUGUGUUUCAUUAAGUAGACAUACCCAUAUCUACUCAAGUCAUCAGUGAGGGUGAGAACAUAACGAUAGCCACCGCGAGCCUCAACACUCAUUGGACCGCACACAUCAGUAUGUAUGAUUUCCAAUAAGUUGGUUGCUCGCUCCAUUGUUCCUAAGAACAGAGUCCUGGUCAUUUUACCCAUGAGGCAUGGUUCGCACGUGUCAAAUGAUUCGUACUCAAGAGACUCUAAAAGUCCAUCUGCAUGGAGCUUCUUCAUGCGUUUGACACCUAUGUGACCAAGGCGGCAGUGUCACAAGUAUGUGGGACUAUCAUUAUCAACCUUACAUCUUUUGGUAUUCACACUAUGAAUAUGUGUAGCAUUAUGCUCGAGAUUCAUUAAGAAUAAACCAUUCACCAUCGGAGCAUGACCAUAAAACAUCUCUCUCAUAUAAAUAGAACAACCAUUAUUCUCGGAUUUAAAUGAGUAGCCAUCUCAAAUUAAACGAGAUCCUGAUACAAUGUUCAUGCUCAAAGCUGGCACUAAAUAACAAUUAUUGAGGUUUAAAACUAAUCCCGUAGGUAAAUGUAGAGGUAGCGUGCCGACGGCGAUCACAUCGACCUUGGAACCAUUCCCGAGGCCCAUCGUCACCUCGUACUUCGCCAGUCUCCGCUUAUUCCGCAGCUCCUGUUUUGAGUUACAAAUGUGAGCAACCGCACCGGUAUCAAAUACCCAGGAGCUACUACGAGUACUGGUAAGGUACACAUCAAUUACAUGUAUAUCACAUAUACCUUUCGUGUUGCCGGCCUUCUUGUCCGCUAAGUAUUUUGGGCAGUUCCACUUCCAGUGACCACUUCCCUUGCAAUAAAAACACUCAGUCUCGGGCUUGGGUCCAUUCUUUGGCUUCUUCCCGACAGCUUGCUUACCGGGCACGGCAACUCCCUUGCCGUCCUUCUUGAAGUUCUUUUUACCCUUGCCUUUCUUGAACUUAGUGGUUUUAUUCACCAUCAACACUUGAUGUUCCUUUUUGAUUUCCACCUCUGCUGAUUUCAGAAUUGAAUAUACCUCAGGAAUGGUCUUUUCCAUCCCCUGCAUAUUGAAGUUCAUCACAAAGCUCUUGUAGCUUGGUGGAAGCGACUGAAGGAUUCUGUCAAUGACCGCAUCAUCCGGGAGAUUAACUCCCAGCUGACUCAAGCGGUUAUGCAACCCAGACAUUUUGAGUAUGUGCUCACUGACAGAACUAUUUUCCUCCAUCUUACAGUUAAAGAACUUGUUGGAGACUUCAUAUCUCUCAACCCGGGCAUGAGCUUGAAAAACCAUUUUCAGCUCUUCGAACAUCUCAUAUGCUCCGUGUCUCUCAAAACGCUUUUGGAGCCCCGGUUCUAAGCUGUAAAGCAUGCCGCACUAAACGAGGGAGUAAUCAUCAGCACGUGACUGCCAAGCGUUCAUAACGUCUUGGUUCUCUGGUACAGGUGCGUCACCUAGCGGUGCUUCUAGGACAUAAUCUUUCUUGGCAGCUAUGAGGAUGAUCCUCAGGUUUCGGACCCAGUCCGUAUAGUUGCUGCCAUCGUCUUUCAGCUUGGUUUUCUCUAGGAAUGCGUUGAAGUUGAGGACAACGUGGGCCAUUUGAUCUACAAGACAUGUUGUAAAGAUUUUAGACUAAGUUCAUGAUAAUUAAGUUCAUCUAAUCAAAUUAUUCAAUGAACUCCCACUCAAAUAGACAUCCCUCCAGUCAUCUAAGUAUAACAUGAUCCGAGUUAACUAGGCCGUGUCCGAUCAUCACGUGAGACGGACUAGUCAACAUCGGUGAACAUCUUCAUGUUGAUCGUAUCUUUUAUACGACUCAUGCUCGACCUUUCGGUCUUCUGUGUUAGGAGGCCAUGUCUGUACAUGCUAGGCUCAUCAAGUCAACCUAAGUGUAUUGCGUGUGUAAAUCUGGCUUACACCCGUUGUAUUCGAACGUUAGAAUCUAUCACACCCGAUCAUCACGUGGAGCUUCGAAACAACGAACCUUCGCAACGGUGCACAGUUAGGGGGAACACUUUCUUGAAAUUAUUUCGAGGGAUCAUCUUAUUUAAGCUACCGUCGUUCUAAGCAAAUAAGAUGCAAAACAUGAUAAACAUCACAUGCAAUCAAAUAGUGACAUGAUAUGGCCAAUAUCAUUUGCUCCUUUUGAUCUCCAUCUUUGGGGCUCCAUGAUCAUUGUUGUCACCGGGAUGACACCAUGAUCUCCAUCAUCGUGUCUUCUUGAAGUUGUCUCGUCAUCUAUUACUUCUACUACUAUGGCUAACGCUUUAGCAAUAAAGUAAAGUAAUUACAUGACGUUUAUGUUGACACGCAGGUCAUAAAUAAAUAAAGACAACUCCUAUGGCUCCUGUCGGUUGUCAUACUCAUCGACAUGCUAGUCGUGAUUCCUAUUACAAGAACAUGAUCAUCUCAUACAUCACAUAUAUCAUUCAUCACAUCCUUUGGCCAUAUCACAUCACAAAACACUUGCCGCAAAAACAAGUUAGACGUCCUCUAAUUGUUGUUGCAAGUUUUUACAUGGCUGCUAUAGGUUUCUAGCAAGAAUGUUUCUUACCUACGCCAAAACCACAACGUGAAUUGCCAAUUUCUAUUUACCUUCAUAAGGACCCUGUUCAUCAAAUCCGAUCCGACUAAAGUGGGAGAGACAGACACCCGCCAGCCACCUUAUGCAACUAGUGCAUGUCAGUCGGUGGAACCGGUCUCACGUAAGCGUACGUGUAAGGUUGGUCCGGGCCGCUUCAUCCCACAAUGCCGCCGAAUCAAGAUAAGACUAGCAACGGCAAGAUAAUUGACAAUAUCGACUCCCACAACUGCUUUCUGUUCUACUCGUGCAUAGUAACUACGCAUAGACCUAGCUCAUGAUGCCACUAUUGGGGAAUGUAGCAGAAUUUUAAAAUUUUCUACGCAUCACCAAGAUCAAUCUAUGGAGUCAUCUAGCAACGAGGGAGAGAGGAGUGCAUCUACAUACCCUUAUAGAUCACGAGCGGAAGCGUUCAAGAGAACGGGGUUGAUGGAGUCGUACUUGUCGUGAUCCAAAUCACCGAAGAUCCUAGCGCCGAACGGACGGCACCUCCGCGUUCAACACACGUACGGAGCGAGGACGUCUCCUGCGCCUUGAUCCAGCAAGGAGGAGGGAGAGGUUGAGGAAGAGGGCUCCAACAGCAGCACGACGACGUGGUGGUGGUGAAGCUGCAGUACUCCGGCAGGGCUUCGCCAAGCUCUUACGGAGGAGGAGAGGUGUUGGGGAGGGGAGGGGUUGCGCCUUGGAUGUUGUGUGCAGCCCUCCCCUCACCCCUCUAUUUAUAUGGGAAGGGGGAAGGGGGGCGGCCCCCUCUAGAUGAGAUCUAGAGGGGGGGUGGCGGUCAAGGGGAGGGGGGCUUGUCCCCCAAGCAAGGGGACGCCCCCUUUAGGGUUUCCCCCCAACCCUAGGCGCAUGGGCCCUAGGGGGGUUGUGGCGCCCCAGCCCACUUGGGCUGGUUCCCUUCUCCAUACAGCCCAUAAGGCCCACCGGAAGGGUGGCCCCUCCCGGUGGACCCCCGGAACCCCUCCGGUGGCCCCGGUACAAUAUCGAUAUGCCCCCGAACCUUUCGGGCGACCGUAUGACAACUUCCCAUAUAUAAAUCUUUACCUCUGGACCAUUCCGGAACUCCUCGUGACGUCUGGGAUCUCAUCCUGGACUCCGAACAACAUUCGGUAAUCACAUACAAGUCUUCCUAACAACCCUAGCGCCACCGAACCUUAAGUGUGUAGACCCUACGGGUUCGGGAGACAUGCAGACAUGACCGAGACGACUCUCCGGUCAAUAACCAACAGCGGGAUCUGGAUACCCAUGUUGGCUCCCACAUGCUCCACGAUGAUCUCAUCAGAUGAACCACGAUGUCAAGGAUUCAAUCAAUCCGUAUACAAUUCCCUUUGUCAAUCGGUACGUUACUUGCCCGAGACUCGAUCGUCGGUAUCCCAAUACCUUGUCCAGUCUCGUUACCGACAAGUCACUUUACUCGUACCGUAAUGCAUGAUCCCGUGAUCAACCACUUGAUCACAUUGAGCUCAUUAUGAUGAUGCAUUACUGAGUGGGCCCAGAGAUACCUCUCCGUCAUACGGAGUGACAAAUCCCAGUCUCGAUUCGUGCCAACCCAACAGACACUUUCGAAGAUACCUGUAAUGUACCUUUAUAGUCACCCAGUUACGUUGUGACGUUUGGCACACCCAAGGCACUCCUACGGUAUCCGGGAGUUGCACAAUCUCAUGGUCUAAGGAAAUGGUACUUGACAUUCAGAAAAGCUACAGCAAACGAACUACACGAUCUUUGAGCUAUGCUUAGGAUUGGGUCUUGUCCAUCACAUCAUUCUUCUAAUGAUGUGAUCCUAUUAUCAAUGACAUCCAAUGUCCAUAGUCAGGAAACCAUGACUAUCCUUUGAUCAACGAGCUAGUCAACUAGAGGCUCACUAGGGACGUGUUGUGUUCUAUGUAUUCACACAUGUAUUACGAUUUCCGGAUAACACAAUUAUAGCAUGAACAAUAGACAAUUGUCAAGAACAAAGAAAUAUAAUAAUAACCAUUUUAUUAUUGCCUCUAGGGCAUAUUUCCAACAAUGGCACGGUAAAGCGGCAGCAUGCCACGGAGAGAUCGCCCAUGUGCCCCGGCAAGGCGGCAGCUCCCAGGGUGGAGAAGGGAUCGCCCAUUCAGCUCCGUCCAUAUCCACGACGCCCACCGGGACGCCGACGAGUGGAGACGAUGAAGCAUCCUGAGCAGCAAGCACGUGUUCUGGGUAGCGAGAUCCCGCACCCCGACACUGCCUUCGCUCUUCGCCCUGCAGACUUGGCUCCAUGCAAUCAAACACUGAGCUCCCGUGGCGCGGUCGGCCGCAUUCCAAAGGAAGGCGUGGCGAAGAGCAUCCAUGGUCUUGACAACAGCCGGCGGAAGGACGACCGCAGCCAUGGCAUACGUGGGGAGAGAGUCCAGCACCGCAUUGAUCAGGACCAGGCGCCCCGCGGGGGAGAGAAGGCGCGCCCGCCGCCCCGCCAAGUAAGCAUCGACCUUGGCGAUCAUCGGCGCGAAGUCAGUCGCCGACAGCUUUUCCCAGAACAGUGGCAGGCCCAUGUAGGGUUGCGGGAACCCCUGGACGGAGCAGGAGAGGGCCUCCACAGCCUCGGUAACCACGUCGUCAGCAACAUGCACUACUAGGGAAAACCCUAGUAGUAGCGCGGCUUUAAUGCCCACUCCCGCGCUACUAAUAAGGCGGUACAGCUAUUACUUAGCAGUAGCGCGUGCGACACGCGCUACUGCUAAGGCACAUAGCUGCAGCGUUUGUUCUCUCUCGCGCUGCUGCUAAUCUAACUAGUAGCAGCGUGUUUACUAUCCACCGCUACUAGUAUUCUUUUUUUAUUUUGAGUGUAUUUAUACGCCGUUAUACAAAUUUUGGUACAAUACCAAUUAUGAGGUUUAUAUCAUUAUGUCCAUAACAGGGUGUCAAAUGAAGGUGGAUUAGGUUCAAGUGGAGGCAAUAUGUGGUGCAUGUCAAAAGUAUACUACUAAUCCAAACUUGAUCUAGUUUGGACUAGUAGUACUUUCGAUGUGCACCACAUGUUGCCUCCACUUGAAUCUAAUCUGCUAGCACAAGCUAUUUAAUCAUCAUCAUAGUGAUUAGCACCAAUAGUAGUUAUUUAAUCAUCAUAGUCAUAGUGUAGCACAUCAUCAUCUUCAAACUCAUUUCUAGCUAGCUAAUCACUCCUGCUGCUCUCUCUCAGGUAAAAUAAUAUAAAACAUGUGUAGCACUCCUGCUUCAUCAAGUUGGAGCAUGCAGAUGAACAUGUCUCCUAAUCAUGGGAUGCGCGUCUGAUUGCUGCCCCCUAGUACUUCUCUGCGAUCGUUCACAAGUUUGCUCCAGUCUUUCACUAUUAAGCAUUCCUCGCUAUUAGAAAUCCUGAAUGCACUAAAGUGCGUUGUAGGAAAUCUUGGUCGUAAGCUAACAAUUCUCAUGCGACCUUUAGUCUCAAUCCAAUGAGGCACAACAUUCAUCAGGAGUCCCUGUUGAAGAACAUCGUAUAGUAACAUACUUAGCAUUGAAAUUUAGCUUAAAAAUAAUGUAUGCAAAAGAUGCACUGAGGACAAAUAGUAAAAAUCUUACCAUCUUUCCUAAAUAGAUGUGACCGUAGUUCAGUAUAAUCACUAUUGGUCGCAUGUUUUGAGUACUAAGAUAAGUCCAGAAAAAUAAUUUGUCUUGACAUCAUGAAGAUCCUCAAGCCAUGAAACAUAAUGACUUAUCUCCUUGUAGUUUAGUUCAGCCCCGGGACAGUAGUAGGUCCUGUCUACCAAGCGCUGGACAUGUUUGCUUGAACGGAAAUAAGCUAUCAAUAGAAAAUAGUUGUCAACUAUUUUUGAAUAAACAAUAUCAAAUAUAUAAAUAUGGUUGAGAAACUCACAUAAUGGUAUAACUGGAGGCGUCUGCACAUCGACCCAGAUGUCGAUAUUACCUUCAAUAUAAUCUUUCGAACGAGUAUCAAAGGUGAUAACCAUAUCAGACUCAAAUGCAUAAGUCUUGCAUAGUGCUUGCCAAGUUUUGCAUCCAAAAUAGGUGUAGGUGUCUAUGUUGUAUAAUUUUACAUGGAAAAUAUAACCAUGUUCGGUCUUCAAGUAAACUCUCUUUACCUCCAUAGUAGUUUCUAUAUGACUGAAACCUAUCUUAUCCAAGACAAAAACUCUUGCAUGGCAGGGGAUACGCUAGUAGAAUAGUAAAAAAAUUAAAUUAUAAGUUGAAGCAAAUGAAGCAGAUGUCAUGCUUAAUUACAAAAAAAGACUUGUCGUUGUGACUUACUGUAUCCACUUCGAAGUUCUCGUCCAGCUUGAUGCUGAAGCGCCUAUCAUCAUCUAGGAAGAUUCUGUCGCACAGGCCACGCUCGUCUUCGCAGUAUUUGCAAAUACCGAAAUCCUUUUCGUCGUCAGACAUUUUCUAUGUUCAUAGUUGAAACAUUAAUUGAAAAUCGAUCGAAGACAACUACCAGGAUACUCAACACACAAAUUCGGGGCACUCGAUAUUUCCAACAUAUUCUGGCACAAGUCAUGCCAAAAUUCACGGAAAAAUCCGGCAUGACCUUUGCUAAAAUAGGACAUAUCGAGCGCCUGAAUUUUGCCGGAACAGAAAUGAAUCAACACUCUGGCAAAACAUAGGCCACUCGGAGGUGUAACCUGCAAACAUGACCGGCCACUUGGGCAAGCACAUGUCCUAUUUGAGCAACACAAGAUAUACAUUUCAGAAUAUCUUAUAGGACUCAUAUUGACAUGAGCAUUCAAUAAGCAAAACCAAAUCGUAAAAUAAAUAAGUAUUCAAAUUAGCAUGCAUUCAAUAAGCAAAAGUAAAUCAUCUCUUGCUCCGUACAUCAUCGAAUAUUAUCACUAAUACAUCCCGAAUAGUAUCAUACAUAUAACAUCACUAAUACAACUAAAACCCUAGCGAACGACGGGUAUCGGCGCGGGCGGUGGACACCCAAAGAGAAGGAACCAUCACAGGAUCAUAGCUCCAGUGAGAUCCCUGGAGAACCUGCCAGGUAUUGGAGAACAUGUGCUCCAGCGCAACCAAGUAGCGACGGACGUGCGCGUCCUCCUCGCGCACACGGUGACGUACCACCUUCACGGGGUCCUCAAGCCUCUCGACCGUCACUGGCCCAUGCGACCGCCACCAAAGAAGGUUCGUGUCAACGACGGGCUGACUCCUCACCAAGCUGCGCCCCCUGGUAGGUAGCGUCUCCCAGUACCAGCCCGGCGGAGCCCAGUCCCGGACAUGGCCCAUCUGGUCCAGCAGGCGUCCUCCACCGAGUCGACGACGAGGAUGCGGGAUAGGCAUCGUCGAUGUCGAUGCGGGAAAAAUUGCUUUAACUAAAAAAUAACAACAAAUGUGACAUAUUCAACUAGUUCUUAGAGAAAAUUCCUUAUUUGACAUUAUCUUAAAAUCUGCUUCCUUAUUUGACACUGGAAAAGUUGUUCUUCCCUAUUUGACACAAGUUCUAAAUUUUAUUUCCUAUAUGACAUUUUCGUCCAUUUUGAGCCUAAAUGACAUCUGAAAAGACUCUUUUGCCCAAUAUGUGGUAUGUGUGUGGGGGGCAAUAGGGCGCACACGCAGCAUCAGUGCGAGGGCAGGAGCACACACGCAGCAACACAUACACAUGCACCAACACACAACGCAGGCGUACACACGCAACAACACGCGCGCGCGUGCACACACACACACACGCAGCAACACACAUGCACACGCACACACACGCAGCAACACACACUUCACGCAGCACACACACAUACACACACACGCAGGCAGCACAUAGGCACACAACCGCACACACACACCCGCGCGCGCACGUACACACGCAGUAGCAAACACACGCAGCAGCACACAUGCAGCAGCAGCACACACGCAGGCAGCACAUAGGCACGCAACAGCACACACACACACGCACGCACGUACACACGCAGCAGCAAACACACAUGCACACACACAUGCAGCAGCAGCACACAUGUGCGCGUGCACCCACACACGCAACAGCACAUGCGCGCGCGCACACAUACCACAUGAAGGGCAAAAUCGUCUUUUCAGAUGUCAUUUAGGCUCAAAAUGGACGGAAGUGUCGUAUAGGGAAUAAAAUUUAAGACUAGUGUCAAAUAGGGAAGAAAAACUUUUCCAGUGUCAAAUAAGAAACCAGAUUUUAAGACAGUGUCAAAUAAGGAAUUUUCUCUAGUUCUUACUAAAAAUAAACUUACUAUAAAUAAAAAUAAACUAGUACCUAAUUAGUACCUAGUUCUUACUAACUAAUUAGUACAUAGGAACUACUUCCCUAAUUACCAUCUAAUUUGAUGAACCUAGGGGUGGAAAGUGGUAGCGGAUAUUCCAAUUAUCCAAUUAAAAGUGAAAUAAAUGGUCAAAUUUUACUCGUUUUAUUAUGCAUUACAAUAGUGUUUAUUCAUCAUCUAAGAAAACAUCAGAGCCACGUUCGUAUCCGAUGACAUCCGCAUCCGAUUCGUUUCCACCCAUAACCCUAACUAAUUUGAUGCAACUAAAAUUUGAAGAACUCUAGGCAGAGGUAGGGGAGGGGGAGGAGCAGGCGUGCUCACCUCGGGUGCCUGCGACGAGGGAAGGGCAGGCGGCGUCGAGGUCGGGGUCGUGGCUCGGGUGCGCGGCGGAGGGCGGCGUCGAGGUCGGGGUAGGGGGCGGCGUCGAGGUCGGGGUCGGGGGCGGCGUUGAAUCCGGGGUCGGGGGUGGCGUCGAGGGUGUGCGGAGAGUGACGGGAGAGCGUGCGGCGGCCGACGGGCGACGGCGGCGGCGACAGCAGAGGAGUUGGAUUUGGUGGAAGUGGCCGUUGGGAAGAACGAACCGUGCGGUUAAGUCAGAAGUAGCAGUAGCGCGUUUCAGGAAGAGCGCUGCUGCUAAGCUAGCUACAGCGCGUUCCUCUAUACACGCUACUGCUAUUCCUUUCUCUUUUUCCCCUUUUCAUUUAUUUUUCUUUACAUUUUUUUCUUUCACCUUUCUCUAUUUCUUCCAGUUUCAUUUACUUUUCUAUUUGAUUUUUAUUUAAUUUUAUUUCCUUUAGCAGUAGCGCCUUUCAGCGUAAACGCGCUACUACAAAGCAAGUAGCGGUAGCGCGGUUCGACAUAGAUCGCUCCUACUAUGUGUAGCCUAUCGGCUAAGCCGUGAGAAUUUUAGUAGUAGCGCUUUUAUCACCAGGCGCGCUACUGCUACAACUGUAUCUGUGGCACCGUUUACAUCAGCUGCUACUGCUAAUUAGCACCAGCGUGCUUUUUUAACACGCGCUACUGUUAAAGUUCUGUGUAUAAGGUUUUCCCUAGUAGUGAUGGAUCGGCACCAGAGUGCUUUUGCUGUAGUUGAUGCCCAGCCCAGUGGCCGCGGCAAAGUCGUCCAGGAUGUGCCGAAGAUACGCCGCCGCUUUCACCGACGCGCGAUGAUGAUGAGGGUGUCGUCGGCGUAUUGGAGCACAAUCGGUGGGUCGCCGUCCACCACCGGAUGCCUGAGCAGAGGGUCUCGCCGCACCAUCCGUUGCAGGACGUCCGCCGCCAGGAGGAAGAGGUGGGGCGAUAUCGGGUCCCCUUGGCGAAGGCCACACCUGACCGGGAACCACGCCCCAGGCACGCCGUUGAGCAGCAUGGUGGAGCGGGAGGAGCGAAGGAUAGCAUCCAUCCACGCGCACCACCUCUCAGGGAAGCCGCGCACCUCCAUAACCCAAUUGACGGAGUCGAAUGCUUUAGCAAAAUUCUUCAUAUUUUUUUAUACAUGUUUGGUCAAACUUACGAAGCAUUGACAUUUUUGACUCAGUAUAUAUGCAAAUGGACCGGGGUUUACGGUUUGCACAGAUAGGAGGGCACGGUGGUUGCCUGCCAACACACAUCUGGUGACCUGGUGUAAAAUACGCAUACCCAUUGUCACCAAAGUUCAUACAGAACAUCGUAGGAAAUGGUGGAGAGCCAUUUCCUAUGCACUAGGGCUAGCCAGUGUUUUUCACCUCUGCACUUCAAAAUACAAGGCCAUUGGCAGGCGCAUAUGCGUAUGCAGGUGCUUGUGUACCUCACAGUAGUACGAAUAAUUUAGAUAAUUGGUCUGCAACACACAUAUAAUAAACUAGUUAGAUAACAACUUUCAAUUUAUAUGUAGGUGCAUGCAUAAAUCAUCUAGGAAGUUCAAACACAAGAUGACUUGCAGGUGGAGACUACAGAGGCACUUGGGUUCCUUACAAUCUGUACAUAUAAGAUGAUUUGACAACACACUUGUAGGCGUUCGAAUCUUGAGAACCGGUGGUUGUAGUCGGUAGUAAGAAAAAAUGAACACACAAUCAUUUAUAGUGUGUUCUAAAACUUCUUCAUAGCAUUCAUUUGCAUAGGUUUCUUUUUGUGGGGAUAUACCUGAAAAAGGCAUAAUUAAGUGAGCCAUGAUGUUUUUUAUAUAUACAAAAGACUACCAUUGAGAUAUGAACAGACUUGCUCGGAUCCUGGUAGCUACACUUAAUUUGAGGAGAGUUGCCGAAUCCUGGUAGCGACACAUCGACAAGAGUAGCCACAUAAAUGAGCUCUUAAGAGUACAUUUAAGAUAUUUGUAAACUGUAUAAGCAGUAGAUUUUUGGAUGGAAAGAAAAGGGUACAAGGCUUGGAACUGGAACUGAAUCGGGUACUCUCUGGAACUGAGUCGGGUACUCUCUGAAGUAUGAAGUAGACACUAGGCGGGCAUGCAGACUGAACAUUCCUUUGCUAAGAACAGCUGCAACCAACUAAAUUAACAUAAAAAUACAUUUUACUCUUAAGAGCUCAUUUAUCCAAAUAUUGGAGUCACUGCCUUCGUGAAUAAUGAUUGCUUGGCGAUUGAUUAAUAAUAAAGAUAAAUGUGUACUAGUGAGGUGCUGCUAGACCUGCAUAUUGAGAAGGUAGAUGUGUCGUCCUUCAGGUUUUGUCAUGUUCCAUUAUCGCUGUCAUUAAUAUUUCUUUUGGAGUAUUACUAUCAUGUAUUACUUGUUGUGAUACCUAUCAUCCUCGAAGUUGAGGAAGAGCAAUGCUUAGUCCUUGCAGGAACAUACGGCGAGCUGAAAAACAUAAUUUACUCUGUGACUCCAAUAUAACCUACACGAGGUUUGAUUUUUUUUUUCCGAAAAGGAGGUUAUCCCCCGGCCUAAUACGAGGUUUGAUGAACGAACUUAGACAACAUGCAACUUUAUUAUUUAUAUUUAUUGUUUGUUUUCUGAGAAUUCUGUAGAACAUUGUAACAAAAAAGUGUGUGUUGCUAGCAUGGAAAGGAAAAUUUAAUUUACCUAAGAAAUGGUAGUCUGCUAAAGUGGUAUAGUCUGAGUGCCUUGUCACGUGCGAUUUAUUUCAGCACCAGACUUAUAUACAUUUCUUAAUCAUAAAUGGGUUUUUCUAUUCUUCAACAACUAAGAAAUAACCUUCUAACUCGCCACUGAGAACCGGUCGAUGAAGACCAUGGGAUUCAUGCAAGUAAACAGAGGAAGUAGAAGAUUUUGAUUGGAGAGCUAUCGGGUUUGUUGAGCGCGAAAUAAGUAUUUCUAAGUCAAACUCAGAGAUAACCACUUGCAAAAGUUUGGGUGUUGUUCCAAGAAAAGAAGCCAUUGCAAUGGAUAAACUCAAGAGAUUAUUGAUAUACUUACUCUUCAACUUAUUCUUAAUUCGGUUCAUUAAUCAAGAUGCAUUCACUUUACAAUAAUCAUGAAGUAUGAGGAGAAACAGGCUCUUGUACAAAUUAUUACAUGAAUGACGGGCGAGAAUGCGCAUAACGUGUGCUGGAAUCAUAUGUAUGUCCUCUUUUCAAAAUAGGCUCAGUAAAAUGAAGUAACUAGAUGCAGCAUUUGGUAUGUAAUUCCUCGCCGAUAAGAGGGAUGAACCUCGACGGCCGAAGCAGAUUUCUGAUUUGCGCACUCCAUGGACUGAUCUUACAUGCUCGGCUUCGAGCUGAGACGGCUCGCGAGCUUCUGGCCGAGAGACUUGUCAGCCUGCACGACCGCACAAGAAGCAAAUUCAGCAUCUUGAUAGUAGUAUUUUUCACAGAACAUGGAAAAAAUUACACAAACUUCUUCAGAGGACAUUGCAUGUGUGGUGCACAUCUGUAAGAAUGUUGUCGUGUUUGAUUACCUGAGACCAGUAGGAGAGCCAGAUGGCCUUGAUCUCGUGGGUGAGGCGGGGGUCGGACAGCGCAUCGAUCCAUCUGUUGAUGAAUCGCUCUUGCCUGCACACACACACACACACACACACCAUUCAGUUAGAACAAUUGCUGGCUAUGUUACUCCCUCUGUAAAUUAAUAGUGAUCUAAACGCUCUUAUAUUAGUUUACGGAGAGAGUAAUUGAUACAAUAGCUUGGUACUACGCACCUUGCCGGGUCCAUGGAGCGGUACCUCUCCCCGGGCUGCUUGAAGUUGUUCUCCUUCUCGAUCACCGUCUACAAUUCAUGCAUUUUAAGUUUUGAACUUGCUGACUUGUGAGAAGAAGAGAUGAGGAGGUAGCAGGAGUACCUUCUCGCGGCGGCCGUUGAGGGUGCGGGAGGGGAUGGGGUAGCGGGGCGCGUGCUUGGCGGGGUCGAACCUGGAGGGGAAGUAGUCGACCUCCUCGUCGCGGUGCAUGAAGUUCAUGAGCCCGUCGUAGUGGUUGUUGUGGUGGGAGCACUUGGGCGCGUUGGCCGGCAGCAGCAGGUAGUUGGGCCCCAGCCGGUGGCGCUGCGUGUCCGAGUAGGAGAAGAUCCUCGUCUGCAGCAGCUUGUCGUCCGAGUAGUACACCCCGGGGACGAUGAUCCCGGGGCAGAAGGCCAGCUGCUCGUUCUCCGCGAAGAAGUUGUCGAUGUUGCGGUUGAGCACCAGCCGCCCCACCGGCUGCAGCGGCACCACGUCCUCGGGCCACGUCUUGGUCACGUCCAGCGGGUCGAAGUCGAACCGCUCCUCGUGGUCCGGGUCGAUGGUCUGGAUGUAGAAGGUCCACUCCGGGUAGUUGCCGGCGGCGAUGGAGUCGGUCAGGUCCUUGGUGGCGUGGCUGUGGUUGGUGCCGCCCACGGUGACCGCCUCGUCCUCGAGGAGGGACUUGACGCCGCAGGUGGGCUUCCAGUGGAACUUGACGUAGUGCGCCUUGCCGGCGCGGUUGACGAGCGUGUAGGUGUUGACGCCGGAGCCGUCCAUGUGGCGGUAGUCGGCGGGCACGCCCACGUCGUCGAAGAGGAAGGUGAACAUGUGGAGCGACUCCGGGUGGUGGGAGAAGAAGUCGAGGAUGCGCCAGUUCUCCUGGAUGUGGGUCUUGGGGUUGGGCUUGAGCGCGUGCACCAUGUCCGGGAACUUCAUGCCGUCGCGGAUGAAGAAGACGGGGAAGUUGUUGCCGACCAGGUCCCAGUUGCCCUCCCGGGUGUAGAACUUGAUGGCGAAGCCGCGCGGGUCGCGGAGCGUCUCGGGGGAGCCGCGCUCGUGGAUCACGGUGGAGAAGCGCACGAUGACGGGGGUCUGCACGCCGGGGGCACGGAGGAAGUCGGCGCAGGUGAGGUGGGACACGUCGUGGGUCACCUCGAAGAAGCCCUUGGCGCUGGCGCCCCGGGCGUGCACCACCCGCUCCGGGAUGCGCUCGCGGUCGAAGUCGGCGAUCUUCUCCACCAGGUGGUAGUCCUCCAGCAGGAUUGGGCCUGAAUUCACAGUCACAGUACAUACAAGCAUCGUCAGUAAAUCAAUUUGCAGGCGUCGUCAGCAUCAAACACUCGAUUGAUAAUUUGAUAUGCAUGGUAUGUUUGUCCUGAAUUGUUCUUAAUCUCCUCUAUGAUUAUUAACACUUAAAGAAUAAUCAAGUUCUUUGUGUCUUUCUUUCACCAUGAAUGAUUCAGUUGUUCCCAAUCCUANNNNNNNNNNNNNNNNNNNNNNNNNNNNNNNNNNNNNNNNNNNNNNNNNNNNNNNNNNNNNNNNNNNNNNNNNNNNNNNNNNNNNNNNNNNNNNNNNNNNNNNNNNNNNNNNNNNNNNNNNNNNNNNNNNNNNNNNNNNNNNNNNNNNNNNNNNNNNNNNNNNNNNNNNNNNNNNNNNNNNNNNNNNNNNNNNNNNNNNNNNNNNNNNNNNNNNNNNNNNNNNNNNNNNNNNNNNNNNNNNNNNNNNNNNNNNNNNNNNNNNNNNNNNNNNNNNNNNNNNNNNNNNNNNNNNNNNNNNNNNNNNNNNNNNNNNNNNNNNNNNNNNNNNNNNNNNNNNNNNNNNNNNNNNNNNNNNNNNNNNNNNNNNNGAACAUCACUAUAGUAUGUCUGAACAUUUUUUGUAAUCUCGGACUUCGUAUCUAGCUCAGUUUGCCCUGACAAUUUGAAUCCCCAGCGAGCCACUAAUCACUUAGGAUUGCAAGGUAAUCAACUUUCUUUGUGCUGUCUGAAAUUAAAGCUAGUACCAGGUUUCACUUCUACAAGCUGGUGUUAAUCCUCGACGACUUAAUGGAAUUCUUAUGGUAGAAAGUAGGAAAUGUGAAUUGGGUGUGGCUAGGUCUUAGUUGACGACUUAACCAAGUCUAAAUCAAGUGAUAUAGUAGUAUGUAAGAAGAAGAAAAAACUGAGACAUAUCAAAGGAAGAUACUAUCGACUGAGGCAUGACAAAGUCUCAGUCGACUGAGACUUAGCAAGACUGAUGUGAAUUUUGUAACAAUGAAGAGAGCAUUGAUCACUUAUUCUUUUCUUGCUCACUAACUAGAUUCUUAUGGAAUGUUACUGGGGCUGCUUUGGGAAAUUCCAAAAUCUUUUCUCGAUUUAUGCCAGAAUUGGUUACCUAGCUAUACUGGCAAGGAUAGGGCUAUGAUCUCUAUAGGCGUUGCUGGACUUUUAUGGAUCAAUUUGGAAAAGAAUGAACAAAUCUUGCUUUCAAAGUUAUAUUUUCUAAUGAUCUAACGAUUGUUAUAUUUUCUUUAUGUUGUCUGCUGGAUUCGUGUUCAUGGAUUGUUCUAUAGAAAAGAGGGUUGCAGAGAAUUGCUGCUCAUAAUGUGUAGAAGACGAGUGAAAUCUUCAAGGGAGGGCAUGGCUGGGGGCCUACGGUCAAAAGGAUGCAUGCGUAUCAGUGAAGUGAUUUUGGGCUUUGCUGAAUGGUUUCAGUGUUUUUCUCUUUACAUGUUGUGUGUAAUACUUGCUAGUAUAUAACAAGUCUCUUAUCUGAGUUGAGUCACCUAGUUAAUCUAGGCAGUGCUUGAUGCUUAGCGUGUACUCCCUCCGUUCGAAAUUACUUGUCGCAGAAAUGGAUGUAUCUAGACGUAUUUUAGUUCUAGAUGCAUCCAUUCCCGAGACAAGUAAUUCCAAACGGAGGGAGUAGUUGCUGGGUGUGACAGGGUUUGUAUCUCCCCUACCCCUAGUUAAGUUUGUGUUACUUCUAGUUUAGACCUCUGAUCUGAUGUAGGCCGGAUGUAUGUCUUGAGGAGUGUAUGGCUGUUAUUGCCACAUCUUUGUACUAGAAAAAUACUCUGUUUCCUUAAUUGAAAACGGGGGCCUGGAGGCUCCUCUGAUGAAAAAAGAAACUCCGGACGAUUUUAUUAGUAACAAAUUAAAGCUACGGCGCACCACUUUGCUCUGCUGUAGUGCUACUAUGACUCGGAUGGAGAGAGAGCGGCCACACCACACGUCCGUGGUUCGGCAAGCAGUGGGACACGAAGGGAAGGGAAGGGAAGGAGAGCGGAUGGUAUAGGGUAGGGUACCUCGGGAUCCGACGGUGAGGGAGUUGUCGUUGUUCCAGACGGGCGCGCCGGAGUUGGUGCUCCACAUCGGGGCGUUGAAGGAGCUCGACGGCCGGUACUGCACCACACACGCAGCGCACACGACUCCCCAUCAAAACCGCAAGCCAAGAACCAGCGCGAGCUACCUGGGCAGCGGAGAGCAGAGCACGCACCUUGUAGGGGUCCAUGGCGAACGGAGGAAGCAACGAUCGAUCGACUCGACGGACGGCCGGCGGUGCGCGCGCGGAAUGACGACUAGGCGAGCCCCGCCGCGCGGCGCGGAUGCUUUAUAGCGGGAACGAGAGGGCGAGAAAGAUUUGUCCCCGUGCCGGACGCUUCUGGGUUGUUUUGAUCGUGGGCGUACGUGUGCUUGUGCCUGCUCCGGGGGUCGGGUGGGCGGAUACGGGCCGCGCGCGCCUCAUCCACGCGCGCCCCGCCGGGCGCUCCCCGGCCAGAAUAAAACGGGCAGUUUCCGGCGCGGCCGUCGGAUAAACGUGAACUGGGUGUGAACGGGGCGGGGGAUGCGAAUUUGGCACAUGGCCAUGGCACGCACGCGACCGUGCCACGCCGGAAGAGCCGCCUGCCUUGCCCGGAAGGAACUAGUAGCCAGACAAAAAAAAGAAGAGAUUUUUCACCUCACCUCUUUUCUCCUACUGCUACUGAUGAAGAUUUUUCACCUCAUGCGUCAAGUGAACCGCCAAGUUACACGUUGGGCAUUGCGCGAAAAUUACUCGAGACGUCAGAGCUUGUGCCGCUCGCUUCAGUGUGCUUCUCUCUUCGGUGCUUCACACACCAUCUUACAAAACCUUUUUCAAAACUGCUCUGUAAGCAUUCACCAAAGGUGCCUGCAUAGGAAUCAAGCAAAUCUGGCGCCGCGUCUUCUAUGAAUUAUAUAGACAGCAAAAAUACAUGGGCGCUAAGAUCAGGGCAGAAAGACAGCGGACACAUGAUUGUACUUUUAAGACCACCACGAUUCAAUAUGUAUGUACACCGACGACCCAAGGUACUACUACCAACAGCAAUAUACCACAGUUUAACCACCACGACACGACACAGGACUCAUGUAUGCAUGCAUGCAUGCAAAGGGUAGCCAGUAGAUACACUGGUUUAUUCAUCCAUCUUAAAACCACAUAGAAUCUAGAGAUGCUGCCUUUCAAUCUCACCGAGACCGGCUAGGGUAUACAACCAAUCAAACCUCACAAUGCCAACUACUACUAU
rnacentral:lncRNA from 1 species